UAAUCAACCUCUCAUGAUGAAUUAUAUUUCAAAAGAGCUCACCUAGCGCAUGUGUUACAAGACAAUAUUAUUUUUUCAAUGGCUUUUUUUGGCACCAGACCACCCAAGAAAUAAGUUAUGCUACAUGUCUCUUCUGACGCCUUGUUGUGUUGGGUUGAUAUUAUUACAUAAACUAAAUACAUUAUUUAUUUAAGAUUUUAGGAGAAAUAUGUUGAUCUGAUCCACCUUCAUUAUCGAGAUGGUUGUACAUUUGAUUUUCCAAUGUUUUAAUACUUAUGAAAUUCUUUGUUUUUGUUGUUUCUAUGCCUGGAUUAAUAAAGUUUGUUUUAUCAUUUUUAACAUAUUGUUCAUGCUCAUUUUUUUGUCAAAAAUAUCAGUUAUAUAACCAUGGAUCUUUAGUGAGAAGCUCCUAUUACUUACCCUAUACAUCUUUCCUUGUUAGAGAUUAGUUUCUUGGAUUUUUGGUGGACAAUAUUUUUCCAUGAAAAAUCCAACGGUCGUUCAUGUUCAUUUUGGCCAAAAAUAUUAGUCAUAUACACAUGAAUCUUUGGUGAGGGCCUCUAGCCUAGUGGUUAAAGGCUCUCGAGUAGCACCUCCAAGUCCCGGGUUCGAUCUCCCUCGUGGGCAAAUUUUUCGGAUUAGUGAAAAAAAUCUCCUAGCUAUGUCUCAUCUGUUCUCAAGUUAUGAUAUCAUGUGUGCCCCCUACAUUUGGGCCAUUGCAAAGUGGACAGUUGACACCAAGCCCGUUAGUGAUGGGAAGCCAGGGUUCAGGGAUUUUCUUGGCUGGGACCAGUGUUUCGGUCUCUUCUGUAACACCCUGAAUUUGGUGGUAUAAAAUUUAUUCUCUAAUGCCUACCAAAUUCAGGUGUUACCUCUUGUUUCUCUCUCUCUAGUUUUCUUCUCUCUUCCUUUUUAUUAGAAUUAUGUAUACUAUGUGGGAGAUUAAGUAUUUCUUUACUAUAUCAAAACCUAUGCGAGUCAUGGGAUGUUACAUCAUGCUGAGCCUAAAUUAUACUUUUGCUUGAUGCACAUGUUUGAAUUAUUUGAAUUUGAAUUUGGAGCAUGUUUCAAUUUGGAUUCAAAGGAGAAAAUAAAAGGAAAAAGGAUUAGAAAUUCCGGAAUAAAAGAAAUGGGAAAAGAGCCCAGUCGCCCUCCCUCCUCUGCCUUUCGGCCCAAACCGGCCCAGCUAGCUGCGUCCCGCUCGCUCGCUCGCCUCCUCUCUCUCUCUGCCCGGUGGGACCGCCCCGUCAGCGCUGUUGCGCUCUCGUGCGCACCCGAUCUCGUUGGCUCAUGGGCCCUGCCCAUUAGACUUGUCCCCUCCCCCGCAACCACCACGCCCAUGACGUGCGCCCCAUGCACGGUCAAACUGCGCCCACGCCCCCACGAUCCGCCCAUGUUGCUCGAGCGCCUAGGUGAAUACCCCGCGCCCCCCUCAGCUCGCCCCUCCCUCAUUCACUCUCUUCUAGCCCUCGCGCUCACUCAGCCCGCAGCGCCGCCCCCUCUAUUGCUCCAUUGUUCCGCCGUCCUCGCUGGGCCUCUACCGUCGUCUCGGCCACGGUGAGCUUCGCUGGAGCCUUAUGCACUGGGAACACGCAGUGGUUUCCCAUCUCAUCGAUCCCUUUGCCCGGUCCGUGCUCAACCUCUCCCCUGCACAGGUCGGAGUUCGCCACCGCCAUGGUUUCUUGUCGUCCGGCCAUCCAGAGUCCCCUCACGCCGUGCCAAGCCGCCCCGAGUGCGGUAUCUGGGUAUGUGACCUUCCCCCGAUCUUCUUAUACACAUAUUCCAUCUCACCGUGGGUAAUUUCGGCUUGCUAGAGUGGCCUAUGGUCCGCCCAAGGUCCCCCCCUCCGCUGUCCGCCUGUCUCAGCCCCGUUUCAGUGACCCUGACUUCGCCAUAGUGUUCGUCGAGUCCUCCCAAACCUCUUUGGCUACCAGACCACCCUAGCGCCCCUAGAAACCCUGGUCUGUCUCGCCUUCGACGACAGCACCGCCACGACCGUGAACAGCGCCGCCCUAGGCCGACCAGAGCUGAUAAACUCCCCGUGGCGCCCGAUCCUGACCGUUCAUCCUUGAUCCGUUGGCCUAGGUGCUCGGAUAACGGUUCACUCGGUUCAUUGGACCAGGAACGUUGAUUCGAGAUCCGGUGGCCAGAGUGCCUCACGCCCCCACGCAUCAGCGUCUCGCUCUGCCUCGAGCCCCACAUGUCAGGCGUCCACGCCGAGCCCUCGCCCGAGCCGCCAACCACGUUUGCGCCUCGCCCGAGCCCGCUGACCCGCUAGCCCCAUGUGUCAGUGUCUCGUCCCGCCCUGAGACCCGCCUGUCAGGCGCUCACGUCUGCGUGCACGCAUGCACGCGCGCUCGCCAGAUCUAGUUAUGGCCAUUGAUCUGAGAUCUAACGGCUGGCAGGACCCGACACCUCUUUGGUUUGCAGCUUUAUAAAAAGAACCCUCGGUUUCCAAUAAAUAGAACCCGCUGUCCCUGGAAUUUGCAACCGGGCUUCUGGGAUCUUGCAGAAAGAACCCUAGACUUUAUUUUAAUCACAGAAAUAGGUCUAAUUUUGUAUUUUGAAUUCCAAAACUUGUUUAAUUCAUAUCUUUUGCAUAUGAACUCCAAAUUGGGUGGUUCAAAUUGCAAAGUGUUAAUAAAAUUAUUCUCUAUCUGUUUAAAUUAUCAUCUUUCACUGUCUGCAUGUAUUAAUUUUAUGUCUAUGCUAUAGGUGCUUUUAAAGUAAUGGUUCAUUAUUUAAAAGGAAAUAAAAAGGAAAACACUAAUGAUAAUUAAGUGAUUAACUUUGUGAAGUUAAUAUCAUGUAAUGUAUGAACCCAUCUCUGGUAUAGAUUUAAUAAUCCAUUAAGAUGACUAUAGUAAGUUAUGUAAUCCACUGAUAUAAGCAGUACUAAGAGAACCACAAACCCCUAAGUGUAUUUGUAUAUCCUAGGAUCUAAAUUUCACACUGGUGUCUGUACUUUUCUAUUGGAUUUGUGUUCACAUGAUUGCAAAUGUUUGGUGUAUUAUUCCUUUAUCAUUUCCCAAAUGUGUUGAAUGCAUGAUUGCGUUGCGUAGACAACGAGAAGUUUGUGGUUCCUGAGUGUGUUGCUAGAGACCUCCCUCAGCAGCAACCUAGUGAAGGCAAGUGUCCUCUUACCCAUUAUGUCCUACCUACUUUAAAAUUCACUAUCCCGCAUUACUUAAUUGAAACCUAAGGAUUGACUAGCUUUGUAUUUACCUUGUCCUUGAUUACCUUUUGGGUUAUUAUGGUUAGCUUCAUGCUAUUGCUUUACUUUAAUCAACGAACAUGAUGAGAAUAUUUAUGAUACGAUGAUGCUAUCUUGAUGAUGAUGAUGAUUUGUGAUACUUAAGGGGACUCGGGCUGUUUCCUGAGUACCUCUUCGUAAGGACCUGUUCAUUGAGAGACCACCCGAGAUAACAUUACAACCAUGGGGGUGGAAUGGGAUGCCCUUAGCUGGAUAAUUAGAGGAACUUGAGGUGUAGUCGGCUUUGUCGUAGGGCCGUCAAUGGGGUCCGAGCAUAGUACUUGCUCUGCCGAGGCUGGAUACCGAGGUUCUUUCAAUUUGGUUUUGUUAGUCACCCUUCCUAUGGGGAGAAGUACUGUGUUUAUCAAAAUGAAGAAACCUAACGAGAUGCUAUGACCUCUGGGGAAUCUUUGUAAAGGCUACAUAGUGAAACCUUGUCUACUCACCUUGGUAGUGUUUGAGGGUUUGAUCGACCCGAGGCAAAAAGGGAUCAUGACUCGUGGGUAAAGUGUGCAACUUCUAAAGAGUGUUAGAAACCAGUAUAUCAGUCGUGCUCACGGUUAAGAUUAGCAUUGGGAUCCUUCUUUAUUAGAAUAAUUCUAGAUACUUUUAUGAUGAUGAUUAAUGGUGAUGAUUACAACUGUGGUCUCUGGUAUUUCCUCUGGGAGGUAGUACUUUUGGGUAAUAACUAGGUUUAUUACUAAGGGCAUGUUUGGUUUGUGCCUAAAUGUGCCACACUUUGCCUAAGGUUAGUCGUUCGAAUUGAAUAACUAACCUUAGGCAGAAAAGUUAGGCAAAAUGUGGCAAUUGAGGUAACAAACCAAACAUGCCCUAAAACUUGGCUUACUACUAGUAAUAAAUACCUAACCAACAAAAAGCAACUGCUUUAACCUUAACCCCACAUACAGCUAGUCCACUUUAGCCAAUGGGACAUUUGCUGAGUAUGUUGAUCUGUACUCACCCUAGCUUUAAAACCCCCCAACCCAGGUUGUCCCUAUUGCAAUCAGUGCUCAGGAGGAGAUGAAGGCAACAUGGAGGAAUUUCAGGAGUUUCAGGACUUCGAUGAGUUCUAGUUGUGUUUAGUGGCAAACCCCCAGCCAGCUGCCUGUGAAGGCCUUAUCUUCUACAUUUUGUAUCCACACUUUGAUUAUGUUGAUGACUAUGUUAAGUUAAUGACUCUGUGGAUGUCUUGGACAUCUUGAUGUAAUAAAGUACUAUUCCCGCUAUUUACUUUGAGCAAUGUCUGAUGAUGUCCAACUAUGUAAUCGCUGUGUACGUGAGUUUCUGAUCUUGGCACGUACAUGGUUCACAUUCAGUUUGCCUUCCAAAACCGAGUGUGACAUAAGUGGUAUCAAAGCCUUACUGAUUGUAGGAACACUAACCUAGACUAGAAUGGUCGCCCUAAGGACUAUAGACCCUUGUUCUCACCUUGACCUUUGGUGUCACUUCAAAAGUUGGUCAUCUUGACCAAUUCUAUGUUAUAUUAUUAUCUAUAUACUCAUCUUACAAAUUUUUUAUCUCACUUUGCUUUUGGUUUACUUGCUGGUCACAUAGUUCUAUUCUCACUCUUGUGCUUACGAUAUCUUUUGUAGAUGGUCCGUCUUAGAUGCACUGCACGUAAGUCAGUGAUCCCUUUCUUGCACUCUCGCCUUGCGGAAUGUCCACUGCGCCGCACGAUGACAGGACAAUUGAGUCACCUGGAGAGACUGCACCGACACCUGCACGAGAAGUAGGAGCAUCGGCGCCAGGAGCAGCAGGACUCUUCCCCCUCGCCCCAGCAGGAGGUGGAGUCUGGAGGCGGCCCUCCACUGUGUCUCAGCUAGAGGUGCCCCUGCACCACCAUAGGGCACCCUAGCUGCUAGAGGAGACCCUUACGAAGAUGACGAUGACGGUGAUAGUUCGAGCCACAACAUGGAGCUUUCGGAGGAGCAGGAGUCGUAAGGAUGGAUCGCCCAACCCAUCACUUGUGACACCGCCCGCGGUUGUCAUUUCCACGAUGCUCUCGACACCUUGCUGCAUCAGGCCUUCGACCGACACACUUGGUCUAUUGAGUACCGUUGUGUAGUCUACCAGCACCGUCAUGAGUUAUACUUGGACCAAUGGGAGGCUACUUGCUUGGUGUGUCGUCCGGACGAUGAUCUCCGGGGUGCAGAGGCCUACUUAGAGCAUUAUUCUAUCACUAAGCGAGACACUGUCGAGGCAACCAUGUAGGAUGCUGCAUGGCGUGCGCUUUUGCAGUACUUUUCGUUGUUCAGCAGGGUAGCUGACGGCCUUGACCUGAAGUAUUACCCCUGCCGUUCGACCGGCAGUACCGGAGGUGUGAUUGUCUCACCAUAUGGCGAGGGAAAACCCAAACUAGGCAGUAUGGUGUCACACCCCAGUUCUGGGGGCAAAACCGAAUGCAUAGCAUAUGUGGGCCAGGAUCCAUUUCCCACACAUAUAUUGACAUCACAAGUGUAAUAUAUCAAAAUACAAUGCAAUAAAGGCGUAAAGAGAGUAGAGUACUUUAUUACAUCAUCUGAAUCAAUGUAUCUUUAACAAGUAUCAAAAUCAAAGUAGGGCGGAAUUAAAUAUGGGCACUCUUCCACAAGAAGAUGACAGGCGCAUCGUUAGACUUAAAACUCAUCAUCGUCAUCAGCAAAGUCUUCAGCAUCACCCUCUGAUCAAAAUAUUAGUAAGGGUGAGCUCACUUAUGGUCGGGGCUCAGCAAGUGGGGGAAAUUAAUGCAAGUCAAAAAGGUAGGCUAUGGAUAAGCGGUAAGCAUUUUAGUUGGUCAAUAUUUUAUUAGCAACACCUGUACUACUAAUUGUAGCAUCCCAAAAAUUCAAAUUCUAAAAUAUUCUCAAACUCGCUCUAAAUUCAAAAUGAAUUUCAAAUUUUGUUUCAAAAUGUUUGUUUGCAAGUUGAUAUCAACAAGUAAAGUACAGUGGUCUAUAUUCUCUCUAAAAUCCUCCUCAAAGUAUCCUACAAAUAUUUCCCUAGUGAUCCCCCUCAAAUUCUUCCAGAAAUACCGCCCAGAUAUUUCCCGAGUGAUCCCCUUCAAGUUCUUUCAGAAAUACUACCCAAAUAUUCCACCGAUAUAUCUCCAAGUAUUUUCUUCCUAAGAAAUACCUUCAGAAUCAUUUUUCAAGCCCCCACAAAUAUUUUCUUCAUAACUUUCUUCAUGCUCAUACGUAUACGUAUGCCUCCGGUGUCAUACGUUGAGCUCUACAAGCUAAUUACACUCAUAUAAGACAAAUCCAUGCUAAUCUCCCACUAAUCCUCUAAUCCCUCCCCCUAAUCCCCCCACCAUGGCUAUAAAUAGAGGGGCAAGGGCCUCCUCUCAUCCCACCCCAAGCCAUUUCAUGGCAACUCCCUCUCUCCCCCCCACACACCCACUCCAUGUUCCACACAAGCACACACUAGCACAAGGAUCGUUCGGUCGUUCUUCGAUCGUUCGUCCCCCUGUUCUUAGUUGUUCGUUCAUUCGUCCGAUCGUUUGAUCGUUCGUCCGAUCGUUCAUGGUUCGUUCGUCCGUUCGUCCGAUCGUUCGAUCGUUCGUCCGUUCGUUCGUCCAAAUAAUCUUUUUCCUGCCGUUAUGCUACCGAAAUUCCGUUCGUCCGUUCGUUCGAUCAUUCAAUCGUUCAUCGUUUGUUCAUAGUUCCUAUUCAUCGUUCAUCGUUCGUUCAUCGUCACUAUUUACCGUCACUAUUUUACCGUUACUAUUUACCGUUACUAUUUACCGACACUAUUUUACCGUUACUAUUUACCGUUACUAUUUACCGUCACUAUUUCUCGUCACUAUUUUACCGUCACUAUUUACCGUUACUAUUUUACCGUCACUAUUUACCAUUACUAUUUACCGUCACUAUUUACCGUCACUAUUUUACCGUUACUAUUUACCGUUACUAUUCACCGUUACUAUUUAUCGAUCAUCCGAUCACCCCAAAUUUCAACUACUCAUCCAUCAUGCUGUCCAGUCCACCUAAGACCAGCCAGACCCAUAUUCCAGUUAUACAAACUCCGGUGACUGUGAUUUUCCUUCCAGUGGGAACUUCCCAUCUGGUCACCCAUCCUAGGUUUCUCCAAGUUGAGCACGCUUAACUUGAGAUUCCUUCGAACCAGGCUUCCAAACUCAGAUUCCAAUAAUUCUCGUUUCUAAAUUCUUAUCAAAUUAUUCCCUAUCCAACCAUGUCAUCCCUUAAGCAUGGUUCAUAUUCCAGAAAACUCCCAAAAUACUCUCAUAUUCUGCCUAUAACUCUCCUGUUCAUACUAAGUCAGACGAUUCAUUCGUCACUAUUCUCACCAACAGUGAACUUCACUGUGCUACACCACAUACACCCAGCUAUAAAUACACCCAGCUACCCUCUCCCUCUCCACACACACUCAACACCCUCAGCCAAGGAAAACACCCCACCCACUCAGUUACUCCGCUCUGCCGGCUACACGCAUAGUGUCGCUUCGCCUCUAGUCCACCCUCUUGUUAUCGGAGCGUUCGUGUCGUCUCGUGGAGGCCAGAUCUGCAAGUCUACACCAGGCGGUGGAGCCAGAAGCCAGUUCCGCGAGCUCUUCUCCCCCCUUCGCCGAAUAAGCACGACAAGCUCACUGGAUCCCUUUGAUGCAUAAAUUACCUAUGCUUUUACAACCACAACCCUCAGCCUGUUAUUUUAUGCAUGAUAUGAUUUUGAGACAAGUUAUUAUGGCCACCCAGCCGCUUGCCACAAUCAAUACUUGAUAUAUUUGUUACAAAUGAUUUGAGAAAAGGUGUGAGUUUUCAAAAGAAAAUGCUUUUCAAAAUGUGUAUGAUGAAGGGUUUUCACCCUUAUCACCUUGUGAGUGGGAUAAUCAGGGACUCCCUGGUUUAGGGGAGGGCCUAAGGUGAAGGCUCAGCUGGUUUAGGCGUGAGCAAAAGGAUUGUCCCCUCAUAUAAGGACCGAUUUGUCAUCUUUCACUACCUGUACUCAUGAUAAGUACAACCACUCGAGACUGUGUGGGCAGUCACUCAAUCUGAACUCAUACGGUCCAACCCCAGGGUUAUGAAGGCUGGGGAGCACCGGGAGGAUAAGGAGGGGGAAUGUUUUGUCCGGUUUGGACAUGGUGGUGGCCUGACUCCUUCCGGUAUAACCGUUAAGGUUAGGAUGUGCGAGGAAAGAAAGAGAUUCAGCAUUUGGGUCUCACGACGGUGAGAUCGCAGAAACCGGACUAGUGGGUAAAGUGUACACCUCUGCGCAGAGUUUGAAAACCUAUUCGAAUAGUCCGUGUCCACAGGAAUGGACGAGUCUGGUAUGGUAUGGCAAUUAAUGUUUUGUUUUCAUAAAAGGCUACGUUUGAGAAAAUGUUUUUUUAAAAAGGUUCGGCGGUUGAGCCGUGAGCUAUGGUGGAUGGGAAGUCUAGUAGCUGUUUUUGAAAAUGAAAACCAGUGGGAAACUACUGAGAUACCUGGAUGGUUUAGUCCAGGGGAUUUUGUUCUAAUAUUGAAAAACUUCUCGCUCCUUUGGGAGAGGAUGCGCUUUGGAAAAUACAAAAUGUUUUACAAAACAACCCUGCAUAAAAUAUUGUUGUUUCUGCAAAAUAUCCUGAGCUCCAGAUAUUCCAUGCAUUAUAUCUGAUUUCCCCAUUCCGCGAGUGAAGGUGGGCUGCUGAGUACGUUUGUACUCACCCUUGCUUAUUUAUUUUUUUUCAGAAAAAGGAGAUCGGGUAAGAGUUACGACUGUUCCCAACCUUGCUUGUGGCUGCUGGACCGCUGAUUUGCUUCGCUGUGUAUAUCGGACUGCUUCAGCCCCACUCUGAUGAUAUGUCCCGAGUUGUGGACCAACUCUUAAAGUUGAUCGCCACCUUUAUAGGUUUGUCUCGUUUAAGCAGAUCUGUAAUCAUCUGAUGUAUAAAUGUGUUUACUAGCCUCCUGGGACUAGUAAUUGUAUCACAUUUGAGUCCAAGAGGAUUGGGGCGCUUCAGGUGGUAUCAGAGCUAUUAGGUUGGCCGCAGGACGUAACCCUUAGCCUGAUCAAAAGUUUUUGAGUUAAAACUAUUUUCUUAAAAAAAUUCUUGCUCUCAUCCCUUCAUUUCAAAAAUGUUUUCCCCCUUUCCUUCUCUCAGAAGUCAGAUGAAGGUUCAGUGCCAAACCAGCUUUUGCCAGAAUGAAGAUGGUUUCCCCAUGUUGCUGAGAGCAUGCAUAGUCCGCCUCGGAAUCAGGAGCCAACCAGAGUAUGACGGUCGUGAAUUCAUCGAGCAUGGCACAGAGAAGUGUGUCGUGACUGUGUACAUUGGAUCCAGUCCGCACCAUGUGGAAUGGAGUGUCACUGCUGCUGGGCACAGAUUCAAAGACACCUGCCAAGUCGUCGCUCGCAAGGCAUUGAGGACCCUAUGUCAGAUCUAUGAAGAAGAAGUGGCCGACACCCCGCUCAGAUUCUUUCCACCCUUUCAGAGAGACCGUCCCGUUUGGAUGGCUAGGAUGCGUGCAUUGGAAGAGCAGCAGCUGCUUGAAGAUGACCCCACAGUCGUGUACCUCACUACAUACCUGCUCACCCUGGAUGCGCAGUAUGAUUUCUUGGCUCGGCACCACCGUCAGAUGAUUGCCCGAGCAGAAGAUGCAGAGAAGCUCAACCGUAAGCUCCAUGUGGAUCUCACCUCAGCUCAAGCCCGUGUAGCUGCCUUGGAAAGUCGUGAAGCCAUUGCUGUUGAAACCCUGAAGCAAGCCAAGGAUGAGCACGUCCAGAAGUUGAUGGAGGCCUACUUGGUAACCCAUAACCAACGUAGAGCCCUGCGGAUCCAAGAGCCUGCUUCAUCCAACCCAGUUCAACCCAUGAGAGCUGAAGAUCCCCCGAUUCUUGAAGGUUACCCGGUCUCUACCAGAGGAGAAAAGAAGGUUUGGAAACUCCCGAAAGGAUCCAUAGUCUUGGAAGGAAUUCCAAUCUUCCCUCAGGCUAUGAAUAAGCAAGAGCACCCCGAGUCCUCCCAAGAUCCCCGCCGGAGUUGUUUGAGCCCCUUACCAUGAAGAAGAUUCCAGCACCAUCCCUUGAAGUCAAGGAAGAAGCUGCAAGCACCCCGCCAACACCGCUGCCCUCUGAGGAACUACAAGAGUCAGUCCAGCUUGAAGAAGAGUUCGACCCCGUGCUGCCAUCUCAGUUGCCGACAGAAGAAGUAAUGAACAUCAGCUCCCUCUUGACCCAUCCAGGAGAUGUCUCAGAUUGAAGUUGUGCGCCAGCCUUGCCAGAAGAGAAGUUGUCUGGUCUGAAGUUAGUUAUGCCCAGUCCUCUACAUGCAUUGGGUAGUGAAGUUUUUCUUCACUUUGGCUAGAGCCCUACAUGUAUGAGAGGUAAUCGCGUAGACUCGUGUUUUGCAAAACUCUAAUUGUGUGGCCCCCUAGGGCAUUUCAAAAUGAAUUUCGCUUGAUGUUUUCUCCCCUUUUGAGUGCAUAUGUGAUGCUUUAACGUUAGUGCUCAUAAGUCGCAUUUUAGCAUAGUUCUCAGUUCAGGAGCCGAGCAAUAGUAGUUAUGCUUAGCCCCCGAAUCCAAGUAGUUCGUGAUUUGGAAAAACUCUAUUCUUCCCUUAUUCAAAACAUUUGAUUUGUUUGUGCUUAUCAUUGCUGAACUUAUGUGUUUUCUUUCUUUUUAAGAAAGGUUUUCUCUAAAAACAUAAAUCACAAAUUAGAUCUAAUCCUCACCUUAUGCUUCCAUUCUCAUCUUAACCAAUCUCAAGAGAAAAGUGCCUUACCCAAGAAGAUACCGGGAAGCUUACCCUUGAAGCCUGGAAUAAGCUAUAGAAGAAACCAGUCCAGCCGCUCAGUCAAAAGGACCGACCAUGAGAAUCAAAGCACUGCCCCUGAGUCAAAGUAAACAGAAAAAGAGGACAGAAGGAGUUAUUACCAUAUAGAGAGGCAAAGAUUCUUGGAACCAGAGACCACAAACAUCAGGGUCAUCGACCCCACCACUCACCCGUGCCCCCGCACGCAUGCCCGCCUCCAUGCGCACUACCACGCCCCCCUUUGCAGCGCACCCACCGCCAUCGUCGCCGGCAACAGGCCCCCCUUCCCCUUGUCACACCUGCUGCCUCGUGUCACCUGCUCCAUCACUACCACUCCACACCCCCCAAGCACCCCCGCUCGCCUAUAAAACCCCCCACCAGCACCCUCAACUCCCAUCUCGCUCAAAGCAAAGCACACUCCAGAUAAAACCCCCUCUGCUAAAUCGCAAGCAACCCCAUUUCCCACUCCCUCGCCCCUAAGAUCACAAUGCUUGGUGAUUCUUGGGUUGAAGACUGUUGCACAUGGUUCAUAGUCUUUGGUUUCCUCCAGUGUAUGAUGGUAAUACUCUUUGAUAGAAUCCUCCAGUGGGAAGAGCAAAGAGAAAGAAAGAGACAGUGAAAAGUGAAAAGAGAAAAGAAGAUAGCAAAGAGAAGAUGAGAAGAAGGUUGUCCCAGAAUCAACCCUGUGUCAGUCAUUUCUCCGCAGCCUGCUCAAGCAACAACAGCACAAGAAGGCCCCAUAACACCCUUGUUAUGAGGUACUUCAAAGAGUUCAAAUCCCCAAGAUUCAAUAGUUCCACCCUCAUUCUUUUUAAGUGGGGUAGUGUUCCAGUAAGGUUCCUGCUAUGGAGAAAAAGAAGAAGGCCUGUAGCAAGCUUGUGGAGGACCAGAUCAUCGAAGCAUAUAAGUUCCUGGAUGAGAAGUGGUCACCCAAGUUUUGUUGAUGAAGCACCAGAAGACCAAUCAAGGAAGGAAUCCAUGUGGGAGUUCGCGAGAGAAAGGUUGCAUGUUGGCAUCGUUGCUUCUUCAAUAAGCUAGCUGCCAAGCGAAAGCUAGAAGCCUGAAGAUGAUCUUUGAUUAGCCAGAAUCAGCGUUUGCAAUCAGCAACCGGAUGCCCCUCAAAGGCCAGAUUUUGUUGAAGCUCUAUCUUCUCGAAAAGUUUGCAAAGUGAAGAUAUGUAGCUGAAGUAAAGAUAUACACAUAACCCUUCUAAGCCGAAUCUUGAGGACAAGAUUCCUUUUAAGUGGGGUAGAUUUGUAGCAUCCCAAAAAUUCAAAUUCUAAAUAUUCUCAAACUCGCUCUAAAUUCAAAAUGAAUUUCAAAUUUUGUUUCAAAAUGUUUGUUUGCAAGUUGAUAUCAACAAGUAAAGUACAGUGGUCUAUAUUCUCUCCAAAAUCCUCCUACAAAUAUUUCCCCAGUGAUCCCCCUCAAAUUCUUCCAGAAAUACCGCCCAGAUAUUUCCCGAGUGAUCCCCUUCAAGUUCUUUCAGAAAUACUACCCAAAUAUUCCACCGAUAUAUCUCCAAGUAUUUUCUUCCUAAGAAAUACCUUCAGAAUCAUUUUUCAAGCCCCCACAAAUAUUUUCUUCAUAACUUUCUUCAUGCUCAUACGUAUACGUAUGCCUCCGGUGUCAUACGUUGAGCUCUACAAGCUAAUUACACUCAUAUAAGACAAAUCCAUGCUAAUCUCCCACUAAUCCUCUCAUCCUGCCACUAAUCCUCUCAUCCCUCCCCCUAAUCCCCCCACCAUGGCUAUAAAUAGAGGGGCAAGGGCCUCCUCUCAUCCCACCCAAAGCCAUUUCAUGGCAACUCCCUCUCUCCCCCCCACACACCCACUCCAUGUUCCACACAAGCACACACUAGCACAAGGAUCGUUCGGUCGUUCUUCGAUCGUUCGUCCCCCUGUUCUUAGUUGUUCGUUCGUUCGUCCGAUCGUUUGAUCGUUCGUCCGAUCGUUCAUGGUUCGUUCGUCCGUUCGUCCGAUCGUUCGUCCGUUCGUUCGUCCAAAUAAUCUUUUUCCUGCCGUUAUGCUGCCGAAAUUCCGUUCGUCCGUUCGUUCGAUCAUUCGAUCGUUCAUCGUUCGUUCAUAGUUCCUAUUCAUCGUUCAUCGUUUAUUCAUCGUCACUAUUUUACCGUCACUAUUUACCGUUACUAUUUACCGUCACUAUUUUACCGUGACUAUUUUACCGUUACUAUUUACCGUUACUAUUUACCGUUACUAUUUCCCGUUACUAUUUCCCGUCACUAUUUUACCGUCACUAUUUUACCGUUACUAUUUACCGUCACUAUUUACCGUUACUAUUUACCGUCACUAUUUUACCGUUACUAUUUACCGUUACUAUUUACCGUUACUAUUCAUCGAUCAUCCGAUCAACCCAAAUUUCAACUACUCAUCCAUCAUGCUGUCCAGUCCACCUAAGACCAGCCAGACCCAUAUUCCAGUUAUACAAACUCCGGUGACUGUGAUUUUCCUUCCAGUGGGAACUUCCCAUCUGGUUACCCAUCCUAGGUUUCUCCAAGUUGAGCACGCUUAACUUGAGAUUCCUUCGAACCAGGCUUCCAAACUCAGAUUCCAAUAAUUCUCGUUUCUAAAUUCUUAUCAAAUUAUUCCCUAUCCAACCAUGUCAUCCCUUAAGCAUGGUUCAUAUUCCAGAAAACUCCCAAAAUACUCUCAUAUUCUGCCUAUAACUCUCCUAUUCAUACUAAGUCAGACGAUUCAUUCGUCACUAUUCUCACCAACAGUGAACUUCACUGUGCUACACCACAUACACCCAGCUACCCUCUCCCUCUCCACACACACUCAACACCCUCAGCCAAGGAAAACACCCCACCCACUUAGUUACUCCGCUCUGCCGGCUACACGCAUAGUGUCGCUUCGCCUCUAGUCCACCCUCUUGUUAUCGGAGCGUUCGUGUCGUCUCGUGGAGGCCAGAUCUGCAAGUCUACGCCAGACGGUGGAGCCAGAAGCCAGUUCCGCGAGCUCUUCUUCCCCCUUCGCCGAAUAAGCACGGCAAGCUCACUGGAUCCCUUUGAUGCAUAAAUUACCUAUGCUUUUACAACCACAACCCUCAGCCUGUUAUUUUAUGCAUGAUAUGAUUUUGAGACAAGUUAUUAUGGCCACCCAACCGCUUGCCGCAAUCAAUACUUGAUAUAUUUGUUACAAAUGAUUUGAGAAAAGGUGUGAGUUUUCAAAAGAAAAUGCUUUUCAAAAUGUGUAUGAUGAAGUGUUUUCACCCUUAUCACCUUGUGAGUGGGAUAAUCAGGGACUCCCUGGUUUAGGGGAGGGCCUAAGGUGAAGGCUCAGCUGGUUUAGGCGUGAGCAGAAGGAUUGUCCCCUCAUAUAAGGACCGGUUUGUCAUCUUUCACUACCUGUACUCAUGAUAAGUACAACCACUCGAGACUGUGUGGGUAGUCACUCAAUCUGAACUCGUACGGUCCAACCCCAGGGUUAUGAAGGCUGGGGAGCACCGGGAGGAUAAGGAGGGGGAAUGUUUUGUCCGGUUUGGACAUGGUGGUGGCCUGACUCCUUCCGGUAUAACCGUUAAGGUUAGGAUGUGCGAGGAAAGAAAGAGAUUCGGCAUUCGGGUCUCACGACGGUGAGAUCGCAGAAACCGGACUAGUGGGUAAAGUGUACACCUCUGCGCAGAGUUUGAAAACCUAUUCGAAUAGUCCGUGUCCACAGGAAUGGACGAGUCUGGUAUGGUAUGGCAAUUAAUGUUUUGUUUUCAUAAAAGGCUACGUUUGAGAAAAUGUUUUUUAAAAAAGGUUCGGCGGUUGAGCCGUGAGCUAUGGUGGACGGGAAGUCCAGUAGCUGUUUUUGAAAAUGAAAACCAGUGGGAAACUACUGAGAUACCUGGAUGGUUUAGUCCAGGGGAUUUUGUUCUAAUAUUGAAAAACUUCUCGCUCCUUUGGGAGAGGAUGCGCUUUGGAAAAUACAAAAUGUUUUACAAAACAACCCUGCAAAAAAUAUUGCUGUUUCUGCAAAAUAUCCUGAGCUCCAGAUAUUCCAUGCAUUAUAUCUGAUUUCCCCAUUCCGCGGGUGAAGGUGGGCUGCUGAGUACGUUUGUACUCACCCUUACUUAUUUAUUUUUUUUCAGAAGAAGGAGAUCGGGUAAGAGUUACGACUGUUCCCAACCUUGCUUGUGGCUGCUGGGCCGCUGAUUUGCUUCGCUGCGUAUAUCGGGCUGCUUCAGCCCCACUCUGAUGAUAUGUCCCGAGUUGUGGACCAACUCUUAAAGUUGAUCGCCACCUUUAUAGGUUUGUCUCGUUUAAGCAGAUCUGUAAUCAUCUGAUGUAUAAAUGUGUUUACUAGCCUCCUGGGACUAGUAAUUGUAUCACAUUUGAGUCCCAGAGGAUUGGGGCGCUUCACUAAUAAGUGUGCAUCCCCAGUAUCCCAAUUGAUCAAAGAUAUAAGAAUAUAUCAAAAGCACUUAAGUGAAACCACUUAAGCAAACCAUUGGUAGAUCAUCAGAUCUUGAUUUAUUGUCCAUCUUUAAGUUCAAUUAUCAUGUGAGGGUCAACGUUGCUCUUAACCGUGAGCAUGGCUGACAUAUCAGUUUUACACUCUACAGAGGUGGUACAACUUUACCCAUAAGCCAUGUAUACCAUCUAGCCUGGGUUGAUUGGACCCGUAAACACUGCCGAGGUGAAUGCCUAGGGAUCCAUUAUGAGGCUUUCACAAAUAUCCUUAGUACAAAGCCACCCGCUAAGGUUUCCACGUCAGUAUUAAUGGCCCUGUAGUGAGGUAACUUAGCCAAGACUACCACCCCAUGUUAACAUGAGCUGCCACCAAACCACUGCCGCCCCCUCUUGCCCAUCUUUCAGGUAGGGUUGCUAAGCACUAAGUCUAUAGAGCUAAUUAUCAAAGCUAGAGCCAUGAUAGCACUCGUGGUUGCACUGUUAUCUUGGAUGGUCACUCCAUGCUCCAUUUAACACAAAAUGUUCUUGUUUAACCAUCGGGUUAACAUCAUAAUAAAACUUCAUUUCCGGAACAUAGUAUCAUUAAAAGAGUGACAUCAUAUUCAUCAUGUUGAGCAAUAGCAAAAAUUGAUAAGCAAAGCAUUUAUCCCAGGGUAAUUCACGGAAUAGGGUUGGUAAUUCUAGGAAAUCCUUAUUUAGGCAAAUCCCAUCAAAUUAUGCAAUAUAUCCAAAAAGUAAACAUUAUUAUAUGCAUUAAUUGGGUACAAAUAGAAUAUGUAGAGGGAGAAUCCACUUGUCUUGCUCGAAAGUGUCCUGUGGGUCAUCCUCGAACGAGUUUGGUUCGUCUACCUCACAGUCAACUUCUAGCAUCGAUUUGCGUAUCGUACAUACAAAAAGAAUACGUUCGCCAAAUAAAUAAACACACGCCAUUACAGGGGUAAUCAUUCACCAUUACAUUCACAUUCAUGCAUCACACAUUUAUACUCAUAAAUACGUUUUAAAGCGUAAAUACUUAUUAAUCCAUUAUGACUACUACUGUGAGUUAUUAUUGGUGAAAAUAUGAGUAAGUGACUAUGACACUAGUUUUAUCUAGUAAAAUAUAGAUAAACAUAUAUUAACAAUUUUUAUGGAAAAUAAUUGCUAAUCAUUUUCUUUCUUACUAAUAAUAGACUUUUGAGUUUUAUCCCUUUUAUUUCUAAAUAGAAAUGAUAUGUGUAGCUAAAAAUCAUUUAUUUAUAAUUCUUCUAACAUUAAUAUUCUAAGAAUUAAUGUAAAUUACUAAUUGGAAUUUUAAUAACAUAAUCAUGGUUAUUAUGACAUCAACAAGUAUUUUACUAAUUCUAAGUAAUCAAGUGCUAUACUUAUGAAUACAUUUAUCAUGACUAGCAAAAUUUAUAUUUUCCAUCUGACCGAGAAUACGUGGCCUAGUAUUUCUUCUACUUUCUUUUAUCAAUAAAAUUAUACUUAAAACACUACUAACAAUUAUCAUUCAUGUGCUAAAGCGAGAUCAAUCAUAAUCGUCUCUAGUAUAAAAAUAACCAAGUUAGUGACUAGUGACGUAAUUUAUUUUUGAAAUAUAAAUUCAUACACCUGUCAAAAUAUUUUUGCAAGGCUUGUUUAUGAUUACACGUAUACGUCGGAGCCUCUUUUCGGUAAUUUCUAAACUAAAAAUCUCGAAAUUAAUUUAAUUUACAAAACUAGGAACUAAAAUGUAAAAUGUGCUUCUUCUACCUUGAGCUAGAGCUCACGAGCGGGGAUGGAGAUCGACGGGGGAGGGAGUUCGGCCGGGCAGAGGAGAAGGGACUCAGUCGUGGGGCGCGGACGGGGGAACGGGCGCGGACGGCGAGGUUCGACGACAAAGCUCCGGCGAGGCGCGGACGGUGGGGCAGACGGUCCGACGGACGGGCGAGCGCGGGCAAAUUCGAGAGCGAGGAGAGCGAGAGAGAGAGAGAAAGCUCAGGGAGGGAGAGAGGAAGGGAGUCCGGCUGCUUUUAUAGAGCGAGAGGGGAGAGGAGAGGGCGAGCCGGGAAGAGAAACGACCGGUCUUCAACUCCAUCAAUGGUGGCGGCCAUUAACGACGCCAUUAGGGAGAGAACGUGGGGGAGGGAGAGAUAGGGUCGGGCGGCGGUUUCCGGCUCAGUGUGGCGCGGAUGUCGAGGGCGCGAGGCGUGCGGGCGCGACGCGGUGGCGGCGACGCGGGAGGGAGAAGAGAGAGGGGGCCGCGGUGGGGCCCAUCCGUAAGAGAGAGGGAGGGGAUAGGGCGCGGCCGGUUGGGCCCUGGUGGGCCGAAAUGGCCGGUCGGCUAGGGUUUCUUUCUUUCUUUCUUUUCUUUUCUAUUUAAAAAUAUAAAUAUAUUUAAAAAUCAUAAUUAUUAUACCAAAAUUAUUUAUAACUAAAAUAAUUAUUUUUGGACCAAUAUUUUUAUAUUAAUUAAUUGGAUUUAUAAUAUAGAAGAAAUUCUAUUCAACGUCCAAAAAUCAAAUAUGAGCAAACAAAAUUAUUCUAAAUGUAAAUAAACAUCGAACACUUGAAUGAAAAUUCAUUACCAUAUUUACCAUUAAUAAACUAAAUGCAUUAUUUUUAGUUGAUGGUUUUUAUAGUGUUACAAACCUACCCCCUUAAAAGAAUCUCGUCCUCUAGAUUAAGGAACUUCUGAGAAUAACUGGGGAAAUUCUGCUCUGAGUUUAUCUUCUCUUUCCCAAGUGGCCUCAUCUUCCAAAUGAUGACUCCACUAAACUUUGCACAUGUUGACAACUUUACUCCGUGUAAUUCUGCGAGAUGUUUCCAAAAUUCUAAUAGGGUACUCCGAAUAAGUCAAAUCCUCCUUAACAUUGAGUUCUUCCAUAGGAAAUUGUUCCUCCGGUACUCUUAAGCAUUUAUUAAGUUGUGACACAUGAAAUACGUCAUGCACAUCCAUCAAACUAUCGGGUAGCUCUAACUGGUACGCUACUUCACCUUUUCUUUCCAAAAUCUUGAACGGGCCAAUGUAGCGAGGACAUAGUUUACCCUUAACCUUAAAUCUUUUCAUGCCUCUCAUCGGUGAAAGUUUAAGGUAUACGAAGUCUCCUACUUCAAAUAUCAAUUCUCUUCUUCUAUUGUUAGCAUAGCUUUUCUAUCUCGACUGUGCUGUUUUCAGAUUCUCUCUGAUAAUAUGUACUUGCUUUUCUGCUUCUUGGAGAAUUUCUAGACCAAAUACUUGACUUUCUCCGGUCUGGUUCCAAUAAAGCGGUGUUUCUACACUUUCGUCCAUAAAGUGCUUCAAACGGUGCUAUUUUUAAACUUGCCCAGUAACUAUUGUUAUACGAGAAUUCUGCAUAAGGCAAACUUUUAUUCCAGCUUCUACCAAGCUUUAGAGCGCAAGCUUUUAGCAUAUCUUCCAACACUUGGUUUGUUCUUUCCGUUUGCCCAUCCGUUUGCGAAUGAUAAGCUAAACUAAAGUUUAGCUUGGUAUCCAUGGACUCAUGUAGUAUUUUUCCAAAAGUGUGAGGUAAAUUGGGUUCCUCGAUCCGAUAAGAUCUUCUUUGGUACUCCGUGCAGACAAACAAUUCUUGACAUGUAUAACUCUGCUAACUGGGCUCCUAAGUAAGUUGUUUUUACAGGUAUAAAGUGUGCCACUUUAGUCAACCUGUCCACUAUAACCCAUAUUGAAUCAUAGCCAUCCCGAGUACGGGGUAGUCCAACUAUGAAAUCCAUAGUGAUUCCUUCCCAUUUCCAUUCCGGUACUUUGAGAAGUUGUAGCAAUCCUGCUGGUCUUUGAUGUUCGACAUUUAACUUGUUGACACACGUCACAUAGUGCAACAUGAGUAGCCACAUCUCUUUUCAAACUGUACCUCCAAUACUUUUCCUUAAGAUCCUGGUACAUCUUAGUACUUCUAGGGUGAAUAGAAUAAGUUGAAUCAUGGGCUUCUCUUAAGAUAAGUUGGCGUAGGUGCUAGAUUUCUGGUACACAAAUUCUCUUUUUAAACCAUACUGUGCCUUGAUCAUCUUCUGUGAAAUAUGGGGCUUUUCCCAAACUAAUUUGUGUCUUAAUUUCCUUGAUUUUCUCAUUAGUCUCCUGUCCUUUACGAAUCUCUUCUUCUAAAGUAGAUUCAACUUCCAUAACUGUUGCUUCCAUAUUAUUGAGCAUACCAAGGUUGAGUUGUUCCAUCUCCCAGCACAAUUCUUGUGACAUCAAAUGAGUAGUGAUGUUGUUCACUUGACCUUUACGACUCAAAGCGUCAGCCACUACAUUUGCUUUACCUGGGUGAUAUUGUAUUUCCAAAUCAUAGUCCUUGAUUAACUCAAGCCAUCUUCUUUAUCUUAAGUUGAGUUCUUUCUGCGUGAAGAUGUAUUUCAAGCUUUUGUGAUCCGUGAAGAUUUUACACUUGUUUCCAAUCAUGUAGUGCCUCCAAAUCUUCAAAGCGUGCACUACGACAGCCAAUUCCAAGUCAUGUGUAGGGUAAUUCUUUUCAUGUUUUAGUAACUGCCUUGAAGCAUAGGCAAUCACUUUUCCUUCUUGCAUUAACACACAUCCAAGUCCUAGAUGUGAUGCAUCGCAAUACACAUCAAAUCCUUUAUGAAUAUCAGGCAUGAUUAACACUGGUGCAGUGGUUAGCCUUUCCUUUAAUUCCUCGAAACAUUUCUGACAUGCUUCAUCCCACUUGAACUCUUUACCUUUCUCCAAUAGUGAAGUAAGAGUUUCACUAUUUUUGAGAAGCCUUCAAUAAAUCUUCUGUAGUAUCGUGCUAAUCCAAGAAAACUUCUGAUCUUGGACACAUCUGUGGGUUCUUUCCAAUUUAGUAUCUCACUUAUUUUACCAUGGUCUACUUUGAUUCCUCCAUUGGUGAUAAUAUGACCUAGGAAAGCAACUUUAGCAAAAAAAUCACACUUCAAAAAUUUCGCAUACAACUAAUUGUCGUGAAGCUUCUGUAGAACUAAUCUCAGAUGAUCUUCAUGUGCUUCUUCAUUCUGAGAGUAUACUAGUAUGUCGUCAAUGAAUACCACUACAAACCGGUCAAGGUAUUCCAUGAAUACUUUAUUCAUCAAGUUCAUAAAGUAUGUUGGUGCAUUAGUCAGUCCAAAAGACAUGACUAAAAACUCAUAUAGUCCAUAUCUUAUGGUGAAAGCUGUUUUAGGUAUAUCUUCAGUCCGUAUCUUCAACUGAUGAUAGCUUGAUCUUAGAUCUAUCUUUGAAAUAUUGUAGCUCCUCUCUUCUAAUCAAACAGAUCUUCAAUCCAAGGUAACGGGUACUUAUUCUUAAUCGUUACUUCGUUCAAACUUCUAUAGUCCACACACAUUCUCCUUGAACCAUCUUUCUAGUUCACGAAUAGAACUGGGGCUCCCCAUGGUGAUGAACUGGGGCGAAUAAAACCUUUUUCUAGUAAUUCUUCUAUUUGUUUCUUCAGUUCAAUUAAAUCUUUGACAUCCAUUCGGUAAGCUCUUUUUGAAAUUGGUGCAGUUCCGGAUAAUAGUUCAAUAGAAAACUCUAUAUCAUGAUCAGGUGGCAUACCUGGUAAUUCCUCUGGAAAUACGUCUGGGUAUUCACACACUAUCCUGAUGUGCUCCAAAGAUUUGUCUUCCAACUGAUUUAUCAUUGUCUCUGCUGUUGCUGGCAUACUGACAUUGACUUCAAUUCUUUCUCCUUGUGGACUAGUUAAUGUAACCAUCCUCUUGGCACAAGAUAUCACUCCAUCAUACUUGGUCAAGUAGUCUAUUCCGAGUAUCACCUUGAUUCCACUUGAUCCCAAAAUUAUUAGCUCUACUAGAAAACUUAGGCCUCUAAUUUCAAUCUUAGUCUGAGGGCAUGAGUGAGUAGCUCUAAGUUCACCUCCUAGUGAUCGAAUUAAUAGUUUCUUCUUCAAGGGAUAGUUUGGUAUAUUAUGUUUUCCACAAAUGACUGUUACGAAGGAGUGAGAUGUUCCAGAAUCAAAUAAAACUGAUGCAGGUAUGAAGUUAAUAAGAAAUAUACUAUACACCACGUCAGCAUCCUUAGGAACUAAUUCUGCUGUCAAAUGGUUGACUCUUCCUCUACUCUGGUUCUGCGGAGUCCUGUUCUGUGCAGAUCCACGAGCAGGUGUGUUCUGGUUAGUCCUUUGGUUGUUCUUCUUCUGGGGUGUCUGUGGGUUAUGCCUAGGGGCAGUUGUUGGCAUAAUGGCCAAGUUCGCCACACUUAAAACAACCAUUGGGUUGAACAGGAGUAGUUGCAUUGUUGUUCAUGGCCGGUGUGUUCACGAUGCUUCCCUGACGAUUCUACUGUUGCCCACUAGACCUUUGGUCGGUCUAGGUGUUGCUUCUCUGCUAGUUCUGGUAUUGAUUGUUCCUCUGACUUUGUUGUCCAGAGCGUUGUGCUUGAUAGUUGUUGUUCCCACUCUGGUUUCCGGAGCGGAACUGAGAACCUUAGGAGUUGUUUUGUCGGGUAUUUCUGCCGGUCUGCCCUUGGUACUUCCUCUUGUGGUCGGACAGUUCUUUCCUUUUGUUCUCAAGGCCAAUUGCCUUUUUCAGUGAAGUCUAGAAAUUAGGGAAACUGUGGCUCUGUAGCUGGUAGUUGAAUGGUCCAAUCAAGCCUUCCAAGAAACAUUCUCGUCGGUGUCCACUUCCUCUGGGGCGUAACGUGAAAGAUGGGUGAAGCGAUCACGAUACUCACUAACAGACAUGUUCCCUUGAGUGAGGGAAAGGAAAUCCUUCUUAAGCUUCAUAAUUCUUGAGGGAAUGUGAUGAGCGUGGAAGUUCACUUGGAACUCCUGCCAGGUUAUGGCAUCACCAUUGGCGUGUGCCGCAGUGAAGGCAUCCCACCAAUCGGACGUGGUUCCUUCGAGUCUUCUCGAGGCAUACAAGAACUUUUCUCGGUCAUUGCACUGGGUGAUGUCUAACUUCUUUCCAAUGAGCUUAAGCCAGUCAUCAGCAUCCAAAGGGUCUACUGCGUGAGAGAAAGCAUGCGGGUGAUGACUCAUGAAGUCCCGAUGCUUGUCUAUAGCUUGGGGUGCGUGCUGCUAUUGUUGUUGGUACAAUUGGUUUUGCUGAUUCUGUUGAAUUUGCUGUACCGAAGCUGUAAGUCCUUGCAGAAGUUGCAUCUACGCUGCGACGAACUGAUCCAUCGUGGGAUUGGGUGGUGUUGGCGGUAAUUGCUGACCACGCUGAUGGUUAUUGGGACCUGAUCGAGUGUUCACCAUCUGUUUGGUUAGAAAGUGCACUCCCAGGGUAAGUAAGGAGUAGAGAAGAUUCUAAGGGAAAUAGCUUAUUAUUAAGGUUAAGUUCAUUGUUAUAUUAUUUUUAUGCUCUUAUGACCAUCAUUCCAUAAGACCAUUGCACUCAAGCAAAAAUCCAAAUCAAACAUUUCAAGCAACACCAUCACAUGGUUGUUAUUAUUAAUAGUGUAAUAAUAUAAAGAUGUUUUUCGUCUAUCGUGGAAACUAACUUAUUACAACAUAAAUGAAAAAUCUAAAGCAGCCUGGUGAUGGAUCCUGGUUCUCCAUAGCGGAUCCUCAUGUGGGGAGGGGAUAACGCCAUGGCAGGGACUUGAACUUCAGGGGGAUUCCUUCCAUCGAGCUGAGCUUCCAGUGCUGCGAUCCUUCAUGUGCAUCCUCCAGCUCCAAGUGUACCCUAGAGAGGUCCAGAGUAGCACUAUCUAGGUCGGCGUUAAGACCUGCCACCACACCAGCUAAGGUGUUGAGGCAAUCUUCAUUUGCUCCACCUGGAACAAUGCUAGUCUGGUUCUCUCCACGAAUACGUAGAGGAAGAUGCCUGUACUUCGUAUUGUGCAGCUGCUAUCGGUAGGUGUGGCUGAGAGACCACAGAGUUUGCCUAGCAGCAUCGCUGACCGAAGCAACGUAGGUGGAUAGCGACGUCAGAGACUCAUGUGCUGACAGAGUCCUGAAUCCUCUAUCACUUGCAUCCAUUACCCUGACAUGAAUAUGAGUGAUGUAGUAGCAUGCCCGAGGAGGCUCGUACACUCACCUGGUCUCAUAUAGGGGUCAGACAUAGGUUCCCAACUCGUGCAGAACAUCCUGCAGUAGGUUAGGGAAGUGCCCUGUCUCGAACAUUGAGGUGUAAUGUUCAGUGACAGGCCAUAACCCCAUGUAGUGGUCCUACUGUUCUUCGUUGGCUUCAUCGUUGAGGUUUUCCUCAUCUUCAUCUUCUUCUUCUUCCUCGUCGUCUUCAUCAUCGUCACAAGAGUCGUCUAGGUCGUCGCCUCCAGGAGCAGGGGCUUGGACUGCUGGUGCUGGCGGUGCUGAAGCUGACAAUCCAGCUGCGAAGGCUAGUUAUUUUGCCAACGGGGUGGACGUAGGCAGAAACUCUUCCGAGCUGUCCUCCAGAAUGACUCCGUUCUCCACCCGAAUGCGAGGGAGAUCCACAGGAAUUUACUCGACUACCACUGGGUAGACAGGAACUUGCCGUGGCGGAGGGAUGAAGUUGGUGUUGAUCCGAGUGUUUGAAUGGUACAGACCAUCUAUAAGAGAAAAUGUCAACUUAGUUGAUGUUUAAAGAGGUAAGGUUAAUAAAAUAAUUUUGUAAGAACAAAAUUAGCAUGUUUUGAACAGACUAGGCUUUCCAUUUCUAACUAAUCUAAUGACCUAGAGUCAGCAUAGCUUUGAAACCACUUUUGUCACACCCGGUUUUGGGGGCAAAACCGAAUGCAUAGCAUAUGUGGGCCAGGAUCCAUUUCCCACACAAAUGUUGACAUCACAAGUGUAAUAUAUCAAAAGACAAUGCAAUAAAGGCAUAAAGAGAGUAGAGUACAUAAUUACAUCAUCUGAAUCAUUGUAUCUUUAACAAGUAUCAAAAUCAAAGUAGGGCGGAAUUAAAUAUGGUCACUAUUUCACAGGAAGGUGACUGGCGCAUCGUUAAACUUAAAACUCAUCAUCGUCAUCAGCGAAGUCUUCAGCAUCACCCUCUGAUAAAAAUAUUAGCAAGGGUGAGCUCACUUAUGGUCGGGGCUUAGCAAGUGGGGGAAAUUAAUGCAAUUUAACAAGGUAGGCUAUGGAUAAGCGGUAAGCAUUUUAGUUGGUCAAUAUUUUAUUAGCAACACCUGUAUUACUAAUAAGUGUGUAUCCCAAGUAUCCCAACUAAUCAAUGAUAUAAGAAUAUAUCAAAAGCACUUAAGUGAAACCACUUAAGCAACCAUUGGUAGAUCAUCAGAUCUUGAUUUAUUGUCCAUCUUUAAGUUCAAUUGUCAUGUGAGGGUCCAGGUUGAUCUUAACCGUGAGCACGACUGACAUAUCAGUUUUACACUCUUCAGAGGUGGUACAACUUUACCCACAAGCCAUGUAUCCCAUCUAGCCUGGGUUGAUCGGACCCGUAAGCACUGCCGAGGUGAAUGGCUAGGGAUCCAUUAUGAGGCUUCCACAAAAUAUCCUUAGUACAAAGCCACCCGCUAAGGUUUCCACGUCAGUAUUGAUGGCCCUCUGGGUGAGGUAACUUAGCCAAGACUACCACCCCAUGUUAACACAAGCUGCCACCAAGCCACUGCCGCUCCCUCUUGCCCAUCUUUCAGGUAGGGUUGCUAAGCACUAAGUCUAUAGAGCUAAUUACCAAAGCCAGAGCCAUGAUAGCACUCGUGGUUGCACUGUUAUCUUGGAUGGUCACUCCAUGUUCCAUUUAACACAAAAUGUUCUUGUUUAACCAUCGGGUUAACAUCAUAAUAAAACUUCAUUUCCAGAACAUAGUAUCAUUAAAAGAAUGACAUCAUAUUCAUCAUGUUGAGCAAUAGCAAAAAUUGCUAAGCAAAGCAUUUAUCCCAAGGUAAUUAAAGGAAUAGGGUUGGUAAUUCUAUAAAAUCCUUAUUUAGGCAAAUCCCAUCAAAUUAUGCAAUAUACCCAAAAAGUAAAAAAUAUUAUAUGCAUUAAUUGGGUACAAAUAGAAUAUGCAGAGGGAGAAUCCACUUGCCUUGCUCGAAAGUGUCCUGUGGGUCGUCCUCGAACGAGUUUGGUUCAUCUGCCUCACAGUCAACUUCUAGCAUCAAUUUGCGUAUCGUACAUAUAAAAAGAAUACGUACGCCAAAUAAAUAAACACACACCAUUACAGGGGUAAUCAUUCACCAUUACAUUCACAUUCAUACAUCACACAUUUAUACUCAUAAAUACAUCUUUAAGCGUAAAUACUUGUUAAUCCAUUAUGACUACUAGUGUGAGUUAUUCUUGGUGAAAAUAUGAGUAAGUGACUAUGACACUAGUUUUAUCUAGUAAAAUAUAGAUAAACAUAUAUUAACAAUUUUUAUGGAAAAUAAUUGGUAAUCAUUUUCUGUAUUACUAAUAAUAGACUUUUUAGUUUUAUCCCUUCUAUUUCUAAAUAGAAAUUAUACAUAUAGCUACAAAUCAUUUAUUUAUAAUUCUUCUAACAAUAAUAUUCUAAGAAUUAAUGUAAAUUACUAAUUGGACUUUUAAUAACAUAAUCAUGGUUAUUAUGACAUCAACAAAUAUUUUACUAAUUCUAAGUAAUUAAGUGCUAUACUUAUGAAUACAUUUAUCAUGACUAGCAAAAUUUAUAUUUUCCAUCUGAUCGAGAAUAUGUGGGCUAGUAUUUCUUCUACUUUCUUUUAUCAAUAAAAUUAUACUUAAAACACUACUAACAAUUAUCGUUCAUGUGCUCAAGCGAGAUCAAUCGUAAUCGUCUCUAGUAUAAAAAUCCCCAAGUUCGUGACUGGUGACGUAAUUUAUUUUUGAAAUAUAAAUUCAUACACCUGUCAAAAUAUUGUUGCAAGGCUUGUUUACGAUUACACGUAUACGUUGGAGUCUCUUCUCGGUAAUUUCUAAACUGAAAAUCUCAGAAUUAAUUUAAUUUACAAAACUAGGGACUAAAAUGUAAAAUGUGCUUCUUCUACCUUGAGCUAGAUCUCACGAGUGGAGAUGGAGAUCGACGGGGGAGGGAGUUCGGCCGGGCAGGGGAGCAGGGGCUCGGUCGUGGGGCGCAGAUGGGGGAACGGGCACGGACGACGAGGUUCGACGGUGAAGCUCCAGCGAGGCAUGGGCGGCGGGGCGGACGGUCCGGCGGACGGGCGAGUGCGGGUGAAUUCGAGAGCGAGGAGAGCGAGAGAGAGAGAGAAAGCUCGGGGAGGAAGAGAGGAAGGGAGUCCGACCACUUUUAUAGAGCGAGAGGGGACAGAAGAGGGCGAGCCGGGGAGAGAAACAGUCGGCCUUCAACGCCAUCAAUGGCGGCGGCCAUUAAUGGCGCCAUUAGGGAGAGAAUGUGGGGGAGGGAGAGGGUCGGGCGACGGUUUCCGGCUCGGCGUGGAGCGGACGUCGAGGGUGCGGGGCGCGUGGGCGCGACGCGGUGGCGGCGGCGCAGGAGGGAGAAGGGAGGGAGAAGAGAGAGGGGGCCGCGGUGGGGCCCACCUGUAAGAGAGAGGGAGGGGAGGAGGGUUAGGGCGCGCGGCCGGUUGGGCCCUGGUGGGCCGAAAUGGCCGGUCGGCUAGGGUUUCUUUCUUUAUUUUUUUCUUUUCUUUUCUAUUUAAAAAUAUAAAUAAAUAUAUUUAAAAAUCAUAAUAAUUAUACCAAAAUUAUUUAUAACUAAAAUAUUUAUUUUUGGACCAAUAUUUCUAUAUUAAUUAAUUGGAUUUUCAAUAUAGAAGAAAUUCUAUUCAACGUCCAAAAAUCAAAUAUGAGCAAACAAAAUUAUUCUAAAUGUAAAUAAAAAUCAAACACUUGAAUGAAAAUUCAUUGCCAUAUUUACCAUUAAUAAACUAAAUGCAUUAUUUUUAGUUGAUGGUUUUUCUAGUGUUACACAUGGUCAACCUGGUCGUCAUGCUCAACACUGAGAUGGACCACGCCCUUGACGAGUUUGGCAAGGCUUGGAAGGAGAUUGUGGAACUGCAUGCUGAUCGUGCGGAGCGCCGCCAUCAGGAGGAUGGUUCCCCCUGUUGGGACUCAACACUCUUACCGUUCGCCGCCCCUUGGUCAUCAUGCUUAUGGCACCCUAACUACAGGACCAAGAUAGACUUGGAGUUCUAGAUCGAUAGAGUCGGAGUUUGUAAUAAAUGUUUAAAUCAGUGUCUUAGUCUUAGUCUUAGUCUUAGUCAGUCUUAGUUAGUUUUAGUUUGCUUAUCAUGUGUUUCCAUGUUUGUCAUGAUGAACUUAUGAUGAAAUUGGAUCUUUGUAAUGAUUGACACCAAGGGGUGGGCAUCCCCUUCAACUUGGUGUAGUUAUUAAUAAAGUUAGUUAUUUAGUUGGGCAACCCUUUAUUUCCACUUUCCUCUUAAUCUAAGAAGCUAUGUUUUGCUGUGUUGAGAGUCAGUGAAGAUGCUCAUUUGUUCAGUGUUGCGAAGACUUCUAUAUAUCUUUUCUUAUGCUGGAAUACUGUAGGGUCAGGUCUAAUGUGUGAAUGAUUUCUACAAAUGUCUAACAACAAACAUCGAGAUGGAAGGCGUGCCCAACAAGAGCAGCAGGCACCCCAGGAUGAGGCACCCCAGCAGUAGUUGCCACCACCACCCCCAAUGACAAUGGAGUAAAUGUUUCUGAUGCAAACUCAGGCAGUUCAAGCAAUUGGUUGGACCUUGGCAACCAUGCAACAGGUGUAGCAACAACAACCUCCACCUCAACUUCAAGUGCAGAUGCGCAGAUGUCAAGAGACAAGCGUGCGGAGUUCAUGAGGGGUCAUCCCUCUAUGUCUGCCCAUUCUGUAGACCCCAUGGAUGCCUAAGACUGGUUGCACAUAGUGGAGCGGGAGCUGCAUACCGCUCAGUGCAAUGACCGUGAGAAAAUUUUGUAUGGUCCCCGUCUACUAAGGGGAGUAGCACAAUCCUGGUGCGAGUCCUACCUCGCCACCCAUGCCGACCCUGAAGCCAUUACUUGGGAGGAGUUCAGAAACAACUUCCACCGGUACCAUGUGCCUGAAGGUUUGAUGAUAGUGAGGAAUGAAGAAUUUCUGGCAUUAAAGCAAGGGCCCCUGUCUGUUAGUGAGUACAGGGACAAGUUUUUGCAACUAUCUCGCUACGCACCUGAGUAUGUCAACACUGAUGCCGAGAGGCAAUACAUGUUCUUGAGAGGUUUGGUUAACCCCUUCACUACCAGCUGAUGAACCAUACAUUCCCUACCUUUCAGCAUCUGAUUGAUAGAGCUAUCAUGACUGAAAGGAAGCACCGGGAGAUGGAAGACCAGAAGCGCAAGAUCGGUGGACCGCAGGUGGGAGUAGCAGCCAUCCCCGUUUCUCAGGCAAUCCACCCCAACAGUUUAAGUAGAGUCACCCUCAAGGACAUCAAAACCAGCACCAACAUCAACGUUGGCUUUAGCAGCAGUUCCAUAGGCAGUUUCCUUAGCAGCAGCAGCAGCAGUACCGCCAGCACAACCAAUAGGGAGGAAACCAGUAUCAGUGGUAGAGCAGCCAGGCACCUCGCCUUCCUUCCCUAGCCACCAAUCAGCGCAACUAGAUAGCCCCAUCACAAGGAGGAGGUCGUGGAUGUUUCCACUAUGGGGAACAAGGCCACUAGGCGACACAUUGCCUAAGAAAGUGGCUCAGCAACAGCUAGCUUCCAACACCCUAGCAAGACAAGGAGCACCACGACAAGCAUCAGGAGGUGUGGCCAGGCCUACAACCGUGGAAAGGUGAACCAUUUGGAGGCUAAAGCGAUCUAGGAUGCACUAGAUGUGGUAGUAGGUAUGAUUCCAGUUGAAUCCCAUCUAGCAAAAGUACUAUUUGAUACUGGUGUCACACAUUCUUUUGUUUCUACAUCAUAGGUAGAAGCACAUAACAUCCUCAUAGAACCAAUGAUUCCACCUCUAAGAGUUAAUUCAGUUGGGGGAAAAGUUCAGUCCAAUAAGAUGUGCUCGAAUCUAAGGAUUGAAAUAAGGGGAUAGAUUUCCCCGCUAACCUAGUGGUCAUGAGUACUCAAGGGUUAGAUGUCGUCCUAGGGAUGAAUUGGCUGCACAGAAACUAAGCAACUGUCAGUUGUGACAAGAGGAUAGUAAAGUUAGUGUCCCCAUUCGGGAAAGAAGCAGUAACUAAACUGUUCAUGCCUGAUUUAGAAGGAGCCUGUCACUAUAUGUCUGUAGAUGGUAAGGAGGCCAACUUGCUUGAGGCUAUCAGAGUUGUGUCAAAGGUCCCUGAUGUGUUUCCUGAGAAUUUACCAAGCAUGCCACCCGAGCGUAAAGUUGAGUUUGCCAUAGAGCUUGAACCUAGAACUGCCCCUAUUUCCAAGAGAGCCUAUAGAGUGUCUAGACCAGAAUUGGUGGAACUCAAGAAGCAAAUCGAUGAGUAGUUAUAGAAAGGCUACAUUCAACCAAGUACUUCGCCUUGGGCCACACUAGUUCUGUUUGUGGAUAAGAAAGAUGGGAUCAAGAGGAUGUGCAUUGACUACAGAGCUUUAAAUGAAGUCACCAUCAAGAACAUGUACCCUCUGCCAAGAAUAGAAGAUAUAUUUGAUCAGUUGAGAGAAGCCGGAGUGUUCUCAAAGAUAGAUCUGAGGUCAGGUUACCAUCAGCUCAGGAUCCAACCUUCGGAUGUACCGAAGACAUCAUUUAUCACCAAGUAUGGGCUAUAUGAGUACACAGUCAUGUCAUUUGGAUUGACAAAUGCACCAACUUUCUUUAUGUACUUGAUGAAUAGUGUGUUCAUGGACUGCCUCGACAAGUUUGUAUUGGUGUUCAUCGAUGAUAUUCUCGUAUACUCUCAGAAUGAGGAAGAACACUAGGAGCAUUUGAAUGGCCAGAGUGUUCUCAAAGAUAGAUCUGAGGACAGGAAGGCACCAAGAGAUGUCUGAGGAAUCAAGAGUUUCAUUGGAAUGGCCAAAUACUAUCAACAUUUCAUUGAAGGUUUCUCCAAGAUUGCUAGACCAAUGACAACCCUGCUAGCAAAGAAAGUUGAGUUUAAGUGGACCCCAGAAUGUCAAGAGUCCUUUGAAACAUUGAAGAAGAAGUUGACUACAUCACCUGUGUUGAUCCUACCAGAUGUUCAUAAGCCAUUCUCGGUGUAUUGUGAUGCUUCGUACACUGGUCUGGGAUGUGUGCUAAUGCAAGAAGGAAGAGUAGUGGCGUACUCGUCCCGACAACUGAAGAUUCAUGAGAGAAAUUACCCCACACAUGGCUUGGAGUUGGCAGCAGUGGUUCAUGCACUGAAGACCUGGAGGCAUUAUCUAUAUGGGCAGAAGUGUGAUGUUUACACAGACCACAAGAGUCUUAAGUGCAUAUUCACCCAGUCUGAAUUGAACAUGAGGUAGCGAAGAUGGCUGGAGUUAAUGAAAGACUAUGAGCUAGAGAUACACUAUCACCCAAGCAAAGCUAAUGUGAUUGCAGAUGUUUUGAGCAGAAAAAAUCAAGUCAACAUGAUGGUCGCUCAUACGAUGCCAUAUGAACUAGCAAAGGAAUUCGUCAGGCCGAGUCUCGGAUUUCUAAACAACACCCAAGGAGUGACAAUUGAGCUGGAACCCACUCUAGAGCGAGAAAUCAAGGAUGUGCAGAAAGAUGAUGUGAAGAUCAAUGAAAUUUGGCAGCUGGUCUUAGAUGGGAAAGGCAAGGAUUUCCAGGAAGAUGUGGAAGGUGUGGUAUGGUUCAAAGAUAGGUUGUAUGUUCCCCACAUAAAAUUGAUUCGAGAGCUGAUUUUCAAGAAGCUCAUGAGACAGCGUAUUCCAUACACCCUGGCAGCAAGAAGAUGUACCAAGACAUGAAGAAAAGAUUCUGGUGGUAUUGUAUAAAAAGGGAGAUCACAGAGUAUGUUGCCAUAUGUGACAGUUGUCAGAGAAUUAAGGCAGAGCAUCAGAGGCCCACAGUUUGUUGGAGCUGUUGCAGACUCCUUAGUGGAAAUGGGAUGAGAUUGGGAUGGACUUUAUAGUCAGUUUGCCUCGCAUUCGAGCCGGUUAUGAUUCCAUCUAGGUAGUAGUGGACCACAUGAAAAAACCGGCUCAUUUCGUACCAGUCAAGACUACCUAUAGUAGUGCAGUGUUGGCAGAGUUAUAGAUGUCCCAGAUUGUAUGCUUGCAUGGAGUACCAAAGAAGAUAGUAUCGAACCGAGGAACCGAGUUUACUUCUCAUUUUUUGCGGUAGUUGCAUGAAACUUUGGGCACGCACUUGAAGUUCAGUUCAGCUUACCACCCGCAAACAGAUGAUCAGUCUGAGAACCAACCAGAUCCUUGAAGACAUGCUGAGGGAUUGUGCAUUGCAAGACAAGUCAGGUUGGGACAGAAGGCUACCUUAUGCAGAAUUCUCCUACAAUAACACCUAUGAGGCUAGUCUGAAGAUGUCACUGUUCCAAGCACUCUAUGGGAGGAAUUGUCAAACUUCAUUGCAUUAGGACCAACCCGGCAAAAGGCAGGUGUUCGGUCUAGACAUUUUGCUUGAAGCCGAAGAUAAUAUCGGAAUGGUUUGAGAGAAUCUGAAGAUAGCGCAGUCCAGGUAGCGAAGUUAUGCUGACACAAGGAGAAGAGAGCUGAGUUUUGAAGUGGGAGAUUAUGUUUAUCAGAAGGUGUCACCCAUUAGAGGAAUCAAAAGGUUCGGAGUCAAGGGCAAGCUAGCACCUCGAUACAUCGGACCCUACAAGAUUUAGGCAAGACAUGGAGAAGUGGCAUACCAACUUAGCCUACCAGAAAGUCUGUCAGCAGUGCAUGAUGUGUUCUAUGUGGGUCAGCUGAAGAAAUGUUUGCGAGUACCAGAAGAGCAAUUGCCUACCGAGGAUCUCGAAGUUUAAGAAGACUUAACAUAUAUUGAGAAGCCAACUCAAAUUCUAGAGACAGCAAAUAGAGUCACUCGAAGGAGCACCAUCGAGAUGUGCAAAGUCAAGUGGGGUCAUCAUUCAGAGGAAGAAGCAACUUAGCAAAGAGAAGAUGAUCUAAAAGCUAAAUAUCUCGAGCUCUUUGCUAGCCAACCCUGAAUCUCGAGGGCAAGAUUCUUUUUAAGGGGGAUAGGUUUGUAACACCCUGGAUUUGGGGGUAUAAAAUUUCUUCUCUAAUUUGUACCAAAUUCAGGUGUUACAUCUUGUUUCUCUCUCUCUAGUUUUCUUCUCUCUUCCUUUUUAUUAGAAUUAUGUCUACUAGGUGGGAGAUUAAGUUUUUCUUUACUAUAUCAAAACCUAUGGGAGUCAUGGGAUGUUGCAUCAUGCUGAGCCUAAAUUAUUAUUUUGUUUGAUGCACAUGUCUGAAUUAUUUGAAUUUGGAGCAUGUUUGAUAUUGAAUUCAAAGGAGAAAAAUAAAAGGAAAAAGGAUUAGAAAUUUAGGAAUAAAUGAAAAAGGGAAAAGAGCCCAGCCGCCCUCCCUACUCGGCCUUUCGGCCUAGCUAGCCGUGUCUCGCUCGCUCCCUUGCCUUCUCUCUCUCUGCUCGGUGGGACCACCCCGUCAGCAUCGUUGCACGCUCACGUGCACCCACUCUCACUGGCUCACAGGCCCUGCCCGUCAGACCCGUCCCCUCCCCUGCAACCACCACGCCCAUGGCGUGCGCUCAUGCCCCCACGACCCACCCACGUCGCCUAAGCGCCGAGGUGAAGACCCCGUGCCCCCCUUAGCUCGCCCCUGCCUCUCAUUCACUCUCUCCCAGCCCUCACACUCACUCAGCCCACAGCGCCGCCCCCUCUGUUGGUCCGUCGUUCCGCCAUCCUCGCUGGGCCUCUACCAUCGUCUCGGCCACGGUGAGCUUCGCCGGAGCCUUGUGCACCGGGAAUCCACAGUGGUUUCCCUCUCAUUGAUCCCUCUGCCAGGUCCGCACUCAACCUCUCCCCUACACAAGUCGGAGUUCGCCGCCGCCACGAUUUCUCCUUGUCCGGCCAACCGGAGUCCCCUCGCGCCGUGCCAAGCCACUCCGAGCGUCGUCUCUAGGUAAGUGACCUUCCCCUAACCUUAUUCUGCACCGAUUCCAUCUCACCAUGGGUAAUUUUGGCUCGCCGGAGUGGCCUCUGGUCAGCCGAGGCCCCCUCCGCCUGUCUCAGCCCCGUUCCAGUGACCCUGACUUCGCCAUAGUGUUCGUCAAGUCCACCCCAACCUCUCUAUCUACCUAGACUACCCCAGCGCCCCUAGAAACCCCGGUCUGCCUCGCCUACGGUGGCUGCACCACCGCGACCAUGAACAACGCCGCCCUCGGCCGACCGGAGCUGAGAACCCACUUGGCGCCCGAUCCUGACCGUUCAUCCUUGAUCCAUUGGCCCAGGUGCUCGGAUAACGGUUCGCUCGGUUCGUUGGACCAGGAACGUUGAUCCGAGAUCCAGUGGCUAGAGCGCCUCGCGCCCCGUGCAUCUCGCCUCGCCCCACCUGUCAGGCAUCCGCGCCGAGCCCUCGCCCGAGCUGCCGACCUUGUUUGCGCCUCGCCCGAGCCCACUGACCCACUGGCCCCGCACGUAAGUGUCUUGCCCCACCAUGAGAACUGCUUGUCAGCGCUCGCGUCCGCCCGCUAGAUCUAAUCCUGGUCGUUGAUCUAAGAUCUAACGGCUGGCAGAAGCCGACACCCCUUUGGUUUGCAGCUUUAUAAAAAGAACCCUCGACUUCUGAUAAAUAGAACCCACAGUCCCUAGAGUUUGCAGCCGAGCCCCUGGGAUCUUGCAGAAAGAACCCCAGACUUUAUUUUAAUUACAGAAAUAGGUCUAAUUUUGUAUUUUGAAUUCCAAAACUUAUUUAUUUCAUAUAUUUUGCAUAUGAACUCCAAAUUGGGUGGUUCAAAUUGCAAAAUUUUCAUAAAAUUAUUCUCUGUGUGGUUAAAUUAUCAUCUUUCACUAUCUUCAUGUAUUAAUUUCAUGUGUAGGCUAUAGGUGCAUUUAAAGUAAUGGUUCAUUAUUUAAAAGGAAAUAAAAAGUAAAACACUAAUGAUAAUUAAGUGAUUAACUUUGUGAAGUUAAUAUCAUGUAAUGUAUGAACCCAUCCCUGGUAUAAUUUUAAUAAUCCAUUAAGAUGACUAUAGUAAGUUAUGUAAUCCACUGAGAUAAGUAGUACUUAGAGAACCACAAACCCCUAAGUGUAUUUGUAUAUCCUUGGAUCUAGAUUCCAAGCUAGUGUCUGUACUUUUUAUUGGAUUUGUGUUCACUUGAUUGCAUAUGUUUGGUGUAUUGUUCCUUUUAUCAUUUCCCAAAUGUGUUGAAUGCAUGAUUGCUUUGCGUAGACAAUGAGAAGUCCGUGGUUCCUGAGUAUGUUGCUGGAGACCUCCCUGAGCAGCAACCUGGUGAAGGCAAGUGUCCUCUUACCCAUUAUGUCCUACUUACUUUAUAAUUCACUGUCCCGCAUUACUUAAUUGAAAUAUAAGGACUGACUAGCUUUGUAUUUACUUUGUCCUUGAUUACCUUUUGGGUUAUUAUCGUUAGCUUCAUGUUAUUGCUUUACUUUAAUCAACGAACAUGUUAUGAUACGAUGAUGAUGAUCUGUGAUACUUUAGGGGACUUAGGUUGUUUCCUGAGUACCUCUCUGUAAGGACCUUUUCAUUGAGAGACCACCUGGGAUAACAUUACAACCAUGAGGGUGGAAUGGGACGCCCUUAGCUGAAUAAUUAGAGGAACUUGAGGUGUAGUCGGCUUUGUCGUAGGACCGUCAAUGGAGUCCGGGCACAGUAUUUGCUCUACCGAGGGUCGUUGCCGAGGUUCUUUCAAUUUGGUUUUGUUAGUCAUCCUUCCUAUGGGGAGAAGUACUGUGUUUAUCAAACUGGAGAAACCUAGCGGGCGACUAUGACCUCUGGGGAAUAUUUGUAAAGGCUACAUAGUGAAACCUUGCCUGCUCACCUUGGUAGUGUUUGAGGGUUUGAUCGACCCGAGGCAAAAGGAAUCACGACUCGUGGGUAAAGUGUGCAACCUCUAUAGAGUGUUAGAAACUAGUAUAAUAGUCAUGCUUAUGGUUAAGAGCAGCCUUGAGAUCCUCUUUGAUUAGAAUAAUUCUGGAUACUUUUAUGAUGAUAAUUAAUGGUGAUGAUUACAACAAUGGUCUCUGGUAUUUCCUCUUGGAGGGAGUACUUUUGAAUAAUAACUGGGUUUAUUACUAAAACUUGGCUUACUUCUAGUAAUAAAUACCUGACCAACUAAAAGCAACUACUUUAACCUUAACCCCACGUAAAGCUACUCCACUUUAGCCAAACUGGACAUUUGCUAAGUACGUUGAUGCGUACUCACCCUUGAUUAAAAAACCCCCAACCCUAGGUGCUCCCCAUUGCAAUCAGUGCUCAAGAGGAGAUGAAGGCAACAUGGAGGACUUUCCGGAGUUUCAGGUCUUUGAUGAGUUCUAUUUGUGUUUUGUGGCAAACCCCCAGUCAGCUGCCUGUGAAGGCCUUAUCUUCUACGUUUUGUAUCCGCACUUUGAUUAUGUUGAUGACUAUGUUAAGUUAAUGACUCUCUGGAUGUCUUGGACAUUUUGAUGUAAUAAAGUACUAUUUCCGCUAUUUAUUUUGAGCAAUGUGUGAUGAUGUCCAACUAUGUAAUCGUUGUGUACAUGAGUUUUUGAUCCUGCCAUAUACAUGGUUCGCAUUCGGUUUGCCUUUCAAAACCGGGUGUGAAAUCUUCUUAGCCAUUAGUGGGUUGUCUGCAUCCUUGACUGUCGGCCCCAAGCAUUAUACUGGGAGGGUGGUCAUUCCCUCCUAGAAGAAGUUUUUUUUUAAAUAGUUUCCUCAUUUUUUGGUGGAGGCCAUUGCUUUAUGAAAAAUCUACAGCUUUUAGCCUUCGGUAUUGCCAAAAAUAGUUGUUCAUGCCCGUUUUCUGGCAAAAAAAGGUAGUAUAACCAUGGAUCUUUGGUGAUUGGCUUAUAUUACGAUAUUACUUACCCCAUUCAUAUUUUAAUGCUAGAAAUCAGUUUCUUGGAUUUUUGGUGGAUAUCAUUUCUUAAUAAAAAAUACAUAGGAAUUAGCCUUUGUGAAAGGGAAAUGUACCCUUGGGCCAUUUCUAAGUGUUUUGGUGAUUAAGUGCCUAACGCCUCACUUUGAACUAACAUGCUACUGUGAGUAUGAGCUCAGAGUCAAAGAGAAGGAAAUUGAGAGUCUUGGAAGAAAGUUGAACAUCCUAUACUAUUGGAGAAAUUUAGGUAUGAUUGUAGCACUUAGUAAAUUGUUUUGGUACUAACUAUGUUCUACUAAGUGCCAGGGAACUUCUCAAAACUAGAUAAAUUCAAUUGGAGAAGUUUGGCUAAGGGUAGUCAAACUUGGACCAGCCUACGGUGCACCGGACUGUCCGGUGUGCAUCAUACAAUGUCCGGUGCUCAGGCUACAUACCCGGCGAAUAGCCGCUCUUGGGAAAAAGCCAGGGCGCCGCGACUAUAAUUCAUCAAACUAUCCGGUGUGUACAGGACUAUCCGGUGUGUCAACCGCAUGCCUAGCCAAUGGUGUGCCAUGGGACCAGAGGGUGGCAAUGGUCAGAUUUGCCAAAUAAGGAAGGGUAUCGUGCACUGUUUACUGUCCGGUGGUGCACCGGACUGUCCGGUGCGCCCACGGACAUAAGGCAAUCAUAGCCUGCCUAAUGGAGGUCCAAUGGCUCCUAGGUCCCUUGGGGCUAUAAAAGGGACCCUUAGGCGCAUGGAGCACUACACCAAGCAUCCUUUGAACAUCACAAGACACCGAGACACUGCGAUCGCGCUAGAGCUUUGAUAGUUUGAGAUUUGAGCAAGAGUUGGAGUUGUAAUUCCGUGUGUUGUUUCUUGUGCUGCUCUCUCAACUUGUGAGCAUGUGUUGCUGUGAUUUUUGUCUCUUGUGUGUGUUUCUACUCCCCCUUACUCUUGUGUUCAUUUGAGAUCAAAUUGUUUAAGGUGUGAGAGACUCCAAAUUGUGGAGAUUCCUCACAAUGGGAAAAAGUUGAGAAGAAAGAGAACCAUGGUACUCAAGUUGAUUAGUGGAUCGCUUGAGAGGGGUUGAGUGCAACCCUCGUCCAUUGGGACACCACAAUGUGGAUUAGGCAAGUAUUUUACGCUUGACCGAACCAUGGGAUAAAAUCAUCGUGUCACAUGUCUUUAUACCUUAUUCUACUCUUUCUUAUAGUUCACGUCACUUCAUAAUUGCUCUAAGUUUAAUACUCACCUUGUGAGAGCAAUUAUGUGAAGAAAUUCACUCCUCUCAUUCUCUUCAUUCAAACUUGGCUCUUGCUUUCACUAAUCCAAAAUUUGUCCAAGUUUGUGAGAGCACCUAGAGGGGGGUGAAUAGGUGAUCCUAUAAAAAUCAACUCUAAACAACACAAACUUGGUUUAUAAUUGUUAGUGAAAUGAAAACCAAGUUGCUGUGAAUAGAGAAAGAGAGAACUCUUCACUUGAUUGUUCCUUUAUGAUAUGUAUUGAACUUAGGAACAAUAGCGUAAGUGAAUAUGUGAGAACUCUAUGGAAGAAAACAAUCACAGAGAAAGAUGCGCAAGUGACAGGGUGAUUUUAUCCCGUGGUUCAGCCAAUGCCUACUCCACAUUGUGGUGACCUCUUCGGUCAAGGAUUGUACUCAAUCCCUCUCAAGUGAUCCGAUGAUCAAACUUGAGUACCACAGUUUUCUUCCUUUUCACAAGUGUUCCCUUUGUGAGGAAUCCCCACAAGUUGGAGCCUCUCACCCUUACAAGAUUGAUCACAAGAACCACAAGAGUAAUGGAGGGAAUACAAACUCACACAAGAACUAGAGUCACAACAACAACACGAACACAAGUCAAGAACUGAGCACUCAAAACAACGCAACGGAGUCAAAGCUCAAAGAAGUGCUCAAAUCUCAAACACAAUGAACCGAAUGCGUGCUUGUGGAGUCUAGGCGUCUUAGGAUGUUUAAUGGAGGCUUGGUGUAGUGCUCCAUGCGCCUAGGGGUCCCUUUAUAGCCCCAAGGCAGCUAGGAGCCGUUAGAGUUCCAUUUGGAAGGCUUUGGUUGCCUUCUGUCCGUGGGCGCACCGGACAGUCCGAUGCACCACCGGACAGUGAACAGUGCAUGAUCUCCUUCCUUUUCUGGCGAAGCCAACCGUUGCCACCCACGGUCCAUGUGGCACAACGCUGAUCGUGUGGUCACCAUUGGCCGGGUGUGAGGCUGGCACACCGGACAGUCUGGUGCACACUGGACAGUCUAGUGAAUUAUAGCCACGGCACACUCAGCACUUUCCCGAUUGUGGCCUAUUCGCCAGGGCACCAGCCUAGGCACCAGACACUGUCCGGUGCACCGUAGGCUGGUGCAAGUUUGGUUGGACUCAGCCAAACUUCUUUAAUCCGAUUUCUCUCGAUUUGACAAGAUUCCUAGCACUUAGUAGAAUAAUGUUAGUACCAAAAACAAUAUGUGUUGAGCAUCUAAUCACUAACACAUUUAUAGAAAUGGCACAAAGGCACAUUUCCCUUUCAAUCUCCCCAUUUUUGGUGAUUUAUGCCAACACAUCAAAAGCAACUCAAAAUGCAACAACAUUUUCAAAGAUGAGCUAAAGAGUGCAAAUUGAAGACCAAUUAAUCUCACAUAGAAUUUGUUAUAUUUGGAUCUCUUUUUUGCUGUUUAUUUUCACAAAACAAAUUCGUUUUACUAUCUCUAUGUCAAAGACACUUUUUUGGCAAAUCAAAAGAUCUUUCAAGAAUAGUUUUGAUCAAAUACCAAAAACUCCCCCCUUUUCCCAUAAUAGAAAUUCUCCCCCACAAGAGAACUAUUUUUGCAAUAAGAGGGUUUUGAUCAAACACCAAGAUUUCUAACACUAAAGUUUUGAAAUUCACAAGUGGUUGGUUGAUCUAGUUGAUUUGGUCUAAUCUGAUCCAGUUGCUUUGGCCUUAAUUUCUCCCCCUUUGGCAUUAAGCACUAAAAUUGAAGAACUAUUUGGCCCCUUUAACCCCAUUGUCUCACAAAAAUUCCAAAUAAGAUCAAAGGCAAUAAGAAAACACAGAUAAGAACUUGGGACAAGAUACAUUGAUACAGGGAUGCAGUGGAAGCCCCUUCUUUGUUCAAGUUCACAUUUUCCCUUUCAAUGCCAUCUUUGAGACUAGAUUAUUAUUACUCAAGGAAACACAUUAGUCUCAAAGGAUCAAGUUGUAGUACAUCCUCCCCCUAAACAUGUGCAUCAUGUGCAUAAGGACUUGUGAGGUCCAGGGAUAACUUGUACAACUUGAGCACCAAAAAAUAAGCAUGUAAAGACAGUAAUGCUUAAAGUAACAUGAUCAAAGGCAUGAAACACAUGUCUGCUAUAGAUCAAUCCAAGUUCUGCGAAUCUAAGACAUUUAGCUCACUACGUAACCUACAAAACUUUUUCUUGUCUAAAGGCUUGGUGAAGAUAUCGGCUAGCUGGUUCUCGGUGCUAAUAUGAUAAUUAUCGAAUCUUCCCUUUGCUGGUGGUCUCUCAUAAAGUGAUGCCGGAUGUCUAUGUGCUUAGUGCGGCUGUGUUCAAUAGAAUUGUCCGCCAAGCGGAUUGCACCCUCAUUAUCACACAGGAGUGGGACUUACUCAGAUUGUAUCUAAAGUCCCGGAGGGUUUUCCUCAUCCAAAGUAGUUGCGCGCAACACUAUCCUACGACAACAUACUCGACCUCAACGGUGGAUAGGGCAACAAAUGUUUGUUUCUUAGAGCUCCAGGACACCGAGGACCUUCCUAGAAACUGACAAGUCCUGAAUGUGCUCUUUCUAUCAACCUUGCACCCGGCAUAGUCGGAAUCUGAAUACCCGAUUAAGUCAAAGGUAGACCCCUUUGGAUACCAGAUCCCGAAGCAAGGUGUAGAAACUAAAUAUCUAAGAAUCUGCUUCACGGCCACAAGAUGACAUUCCUUGGGGUCAGAUUGAAAUCUAGCACACAUGCAUAUGGUAAGCAUAAUAUCCGGUCUACUAGCACAAAUAUAAAGUAAAGAACCUGUUGGUCCUUGUUCUCGAAUGCUAUACAUCAAGAACAAAACAACACAAUUGUUAACGAUUAAGGACCUUCGUCCUUCGAAGCAUUAUCUCCCCUAGGAUAUAAUGAUCUUCAGACGAAGGUCAAGAAGGGCAUACCUUCAUCAUUUCAGUGAACGAAAUAUAAAUAGAGACAUAUGAAAUACAAAGGAAUAUAAACAAUCAUUACAAAUCAUUAGAUUAUUUACAUUAUCGUUUUAUAAACAUGGAUAAACAUCAAUUAUAUUUAUAUUACAUUUAUACCUUCGGUUUAACAGAAGAAGGAAAAGCGAGAGUGAAGCGAGAGUGAUUACAAUUCAGCGUGAAUAGUACGAGGGUACUAUUCAUCUAUUUAUAAGCACGGGACGCAGCCCGGACAAAAUUACAUCCGUGUCCCUAAUAAUUAAUUAUAAUCAUAAUACAAAUUAUCAGGGGCUAUACAGUCUUUUCCUCUUUAAGUCGGUAUCGUCCUUCGUCUUUAGCAUGUCACCAUGCCGAAGCUCCUUCAAUCGUAGCUUCGGCUUAUAUCUUCAUGUCACACCUGCUUAUGUAUUGUCCUGCUGAAGGUGUUUUUUCUUAGAGGACCUUCGGCGGAGAAGAAUGCCCCCAACAGUAGCCCCUUCACGGUGCUAGAUCGUUUUUUUCUUAACAAGCUCGAUCCGCGAAAAACACGAAGGCUUCGGAAUGCCGAAGGUUCGAAAAACACCUUCCCUGAGCUCGUUGCCGAGAAACGAUUAUAAUAUUCCAGGCGCCGGAUGGUCCACCGUUCAGCGAGUGCGAGCGGUCUGGUGGUUCACCUUCCCCCCUGUAGCACUAUAUAAACAGAUGGGUUGGUGAGGAGUUACCACAACAUUCAUUGCCAUUGCACUGUCGUGCUGUUAAAAAAUUUAACCAUAGCCAAAGCUUUCUGUAUUGCGCUUUCGAGCGAAUGCUUCAUCAUUGGAGAUUAGCUUCGUCAAAAAGUGAAUACAUUUGAAAUGGCCAGAGUGCGAUCAACUGCUAGAGUGUCUCGUGAGGGAGGCGAGGCCGAAGUAACUGAGACGACACCAAUAACAAAGGUGAUGAGGCAAUCAGGUCUUGUUGUGACAGAAAAGCCUGUUGCCGAAGGUACUUUGACUGCUGAAGCUGAGCAAAUCACAGUUGGAGAGGGAAGUAGUAACGAAGAUGAAGAUGAUUAUACCAUCCUGAGCCCAGAAAACCUAGCCACCUUGAAUUUGGCAGAUCCACUGUGACGGCAGAUGAUAUGGUUAUAAUGAAAAAAUUGGGCUACUUUGGUGAAACUAAGAGUAAACUUGUUCGUUUUGCUGGCGAGGAAGCGGUUCCAGAGCUGAAGGACGAUGAAGUUGUUGUGUUUAAAAGCUUCUUCAGAGCGGGGCUUCGGUUCCCUGUUUAUGAUAUAAUAGGAGAGGUUUUGAAAAACUUUGAAAUAUACCUUCAUCAAUUGACACCUAAUGCAAUUGUUAGACUUAGCAUUUACAUCUGGGCCUCUGAAGCCAGAGGAUGAGUCCUAAUGUCGAAGCUUUCUGCCGGGUGCACGAGCUACAUUAACAGACAAAGGCCAGGGCAAAUGGCCUUCAUGAGAAUUUUGGUUGCUACAAUUUUGCGUAUCGAAAGGAUAUGAAGGCACCGGUUCUUAGCUACCGUACCAAGUGGCCAACUGGUUGGAAGAGUGAAUGGUUUUAUAUGAAAGCAGACGAGAAAAAGAGAGAAGCUAAUGACCAUGGUUAAGAGUCCACUGAAUUUGAGCUUCAGAAUGACAAGGCCCUUGUGCCAUAUGCAGCUUGGCUCCCCAUGCCAACUGGCCGAAGUGGAGUUUAGAGUGGUAGUGGCUGAAGUCAGCACUAGAGAUCUAGUGCAAGAGUUCUUGGCAAAUAGAGUAUUUCCGACCUCUAGUGGCUGGGGAAUGCCCAAGAAAAAGGAUGGGAGCAAAAAACACGAACUUGUUCGGCUCCCAUACUGGUUCAAGUUUGAGAAAGAGUUCAAGAAACCAUGCCAAGUGUGGCUGGAAAUGAUUGAAACUAUGCAAUGAAAUCCUUGGCAACUACACCAAGAAGGAGGACCAACUAAUGACUGCUGCCUUCAGCACCUGGCCAAAAUGAAGGCUAAAUCAUGUGAUGGACGCGCUAAAUUUUGAAUAUCCAGACUAUGAAAGAUUUGAUAAGGGAAAAGAUUUGAAGAGGAAAAGGAUUGUUAGUAUUUUAAAGAGACAGGCUGAUAGACUGGUAAAAGAGGAUGAGAAGAUUUCGAAGAAGGCAAAAACUGCUCGUGAGCCGAAGGCAGCAGUCUCCAAAAAGAGGAAGCCUGAAGUAGUUGAGCCGAAGGUAGCUGAGGCGAGAGAAGAAGUUCCUUCAACGCCCCCUGCUGCUGAAAUAGCAGAAAUUCUAAAGGUAAUGACUGAAUCGUUGCCCAUCAAGCUGCUAAGUUCUUUGGGGGCCAGAACUGACGAAACUUUUACAGAAGAAGGAUCAACCUUCGAUCAUAAAGGAGAAGACUGAAGGUUAGAAGAGACGAAGAAUUGUCAAUGUUAUCCAAGCUAUUGAGCGGACACCACCUCUAGCCUCGGUGUCCAGAAUGGUGCCUGUUGCAAAUGCCAAGGUUGAGGAUGCUGCCGAAGCUGAAACUGUUGCCGAAGCUGCAGCUACUGCCAAAGCUGCUAAUCUUGUGAGCACAAUGUCAGGAAUUGACAAGCUGAUAUCAGAUAUGGUCACAGAGGAGGCAGUUGCGACCGCAGAGGAAAACGUGGCCGCGGUGCCUGGCAAGGGAAAAGAAGUUGUUGAUACUUCGUCAAAAGAAAAAGACUUUGACCUUCGGCACCUGGGAGGUCAAGAAUUGUCUGAGAUGGAGAAAGAGGAGCUAGAAGAAUAUGGAAAAUCUUGUGGCUACCAGCCGGGAUCCAUGCUCUUCGGUGGAGUUGAUGAGGAAAUCAUGGGAUGUAUCCACGACCGAGCUGGGGCAAAAAUAAUCGGCACUCUAUCAAAGAGUGUUGGUUUCCCGAAGCUAGAGUCUGAUAUUAGUGGGUACCGAUGACAACAUAUCGUCAGCAGCCUAUUUUAUUCCAAUUUCAAGGUAAAAUCUUUUUGCCUAGAUUCUUGUUUUCUUUGUGAUGGAUUAAAAUAUUAUAAAGUCAACUUUAUUUUCGCAGAGUAUGCUGCUAAGCAAAGCAUUAAGAAUGCAACAAGACCUCGAAGAUAAGAAAAAUGAGAUAGUAAUUGAAGGCUUGGAAAGCAAGAUCAAAGAUUGCAAAGCUUCUCUUGAAAAGAAUGACUUCUUGCUUCAAGCAACCAAAGGUUCCCUUGUGGAAUUUCAAGCUGAAAAUACUAGAUUAAACGAGGAGCUUCUCAAAGCUCAAACAAUCUUAAAGGAAAAAUCAGAGUGCUUUGAACAAGAGAAAAAGGAACUGCAAGCGAAAUAUAAAGUCGAAGCUGAUAAAAACACGAAGCUGCCGGAAUCACUGAGGGACCUUCGGAACAAAUGAUCGGAGUUUGCUACUCGCUGCAUGCAACGGUUAAAAGGAGUCUUCAGCUCGGUUGGGCCAGCUCUGAAGAAAUUGCCCCUUUGGCUGAAGAUAUAUCAGAUACCUUCAAGCAUAUUGAAAAUGAAGUUGAUGCACUCGACAAAGUAAUAACUGGGCAUGGUGAUUUCUGUGCUCUGUUAGCUUCUCGUGGCACGACUGCUGCAUUCUUGAAGGCCGGAUGCACGCAUGCUAAAACAGUAAACAAGCCAAACAUCAGCCUAUCACCAUCAGACUUGAUUAAUAUUCCUGGUGAGGCCCGAAGUAUCGGAAAUAGAUUUAUUACUCAAAUUUGGGCUAAAGGCAGGCGAGAGUUGGCUGGAGACGAGGCUCAGAAUCUGCUUAAAUCAGUACAAAAUUUAUACCUGUGUUUUCCUUGAUUUUUCUUCAUUACCAUUGCUUUUAACUUAUACCGUUGUUUGUCUGCAGGAUGGCGGCGCCGAAGGUUAGUAAUCCGAAGCGCAUUCCGAAGGUUGCUGGGCUGAGGCUUCCCUUUAUGACUUCCUGCAUAGAGCUUAGGAUCUAUUUGCGUUAUUUUUUCAAAAAAUUGUAAUCGAGAGUUGAACUCAAUACUGUAUAUAUUGAUCCAUACCUUGUAAUAUAAUUUUACCUUUCAGUCCACGUGCGAAUUGCUUUGUUGUGGACGAAACCCAUGUGUAACUUUUGAGCCAAAGGCGAAAAACACCUUCCCUUCUUUUCAUACACAUCGAAGCAUUUCCUUGCAUAAAACGCCUAUGUUCAUGUUUGAAACGAAGCUUCUUCGUAUUCAUCGAAGCACUUUGUUGCCGAAGCCGGACAAUUUCUGCUCAUAUUAUCGUUCGUGCUUCAUGUCAUGAUAAUGAUGAUCCUACGAAUGUCUAAUGAAUGUCUGUAUGAAUGCAAAGAAUGAUGCAAUGUAAUAUGCAAAUGUAUGAACCAAACACACACGAAGCCAUACCUAGACACUGCAUCCCCUUAGGAACGACUUUGGAGUCUCUUCACCUUUUAUUUCGGUGGUAUUUAAGCUCUGCAUUCCCUUAGGAACGACUUUGGAGCUUCUUCACCUUCUAUUUCGGUGGCAUUUAAGCUCUGCAUCCCCUUAGGAAUGACUUUGGAGCUUCUUCACCUUCUAUUUCGGUGGUAUUUGGCUCUGCAUUCCCUUAGGAACGACUUUUGAGCUUCGGGACUUACUCUGCUCCCCCUUAGGAACGACUUUUGUAGCUUCGGAACUUACUCUGCGCUCCCUUAGGAAUGACUUUUGUAGCUUCGUCACUCUCGGAGUGAUUAUAGCUCUGCAUCCCUUAGGGACGUCUUUUGAGCUUUUCCCUGUUCUUUUUGCACUCGAUGGUGUGGAUUUUGAUAUUACAUGUUACAUUUCUGGGGAAUUUUGGCCUUUGUAUUGCUUAGGGCUAGACAAAAAUGAAAAUUACAAACUAUGGCCCCAUUAAAAACCUUUCUCCCCUCCUGAAAGGAAAAGGGUGUCAUAGGAAAAAUAAAAAGAUUACAUCAAUUACACAAAAUAGCGUCGAAGCUCAUUCGCAUUCAAAGAUUUGGGUAUGUCGUUGCCGUCCACAUCCUUCAAUUUGUAAGAACCGGGUCUUGACGAAGAUACUACCAGAAAAGGACCUUCCCAUUUAAGUUGUAGCUUCCCCACUAUAUCGGGGUUGGUUAUCCUCUGAAGCACCAAAUGGCCUGGCUUGAUAUUUUUCAAUCGAACUUUCCUAUCACACCAUUUUAUUGUUUUGGCCUGAUACUUAUUGAUGUGCUCUAUGGCCUGAAGUUUGGUCCCUUCUAAUGUGUCUUUUGUUAUUUGAGAAUCAGUUUUGUCCUCCGCUGAAGCUGCGGUUCUUAUUGAUCCUGUUCUUGGUUCUUCUGGUGUUAUUGCUUCGUCACCGAAUAGGAGCUUGAAGGGAGUAAAACCUGUUGACCUUGAGACAGCAGUGUUGUGGCUCCACACCACUUUGAUCAACUCAUCUGGCCACUUUCCUCUAGGCUAAUUGAAGAUUAACUUCAUUAUUCCUGUCAUUAUAAUUCCAUUUGCUCUCUCUACUAACCCAUUUGACUCUGGAUGCCUUACUGAAGCAAAAUGUAUUCUUGUACCGAUUUGGUCACAAAAAACUUUGGACGUUUCAGCAUCGAAUUGAGUUCCAUUGUCGACUGUAAUAGCCUUUGGUACACCGAAAUGACAUACAAUAUUUUACCAGAAGCACUUCUGGACUGUGGCUGAAGUUAUGGUAGCUAGAGGUUUAGCUUCGAUCCACUUCGAGAAAUAUUCCACCGCUACCAUAACAUAUUUUAAAUUUCCUUGUGCGGGUGGAAGCGGUCCUAACAAAUCUAGGCCCCAUCUUUGUAAUGGCCAAGUAGGUUGGAUCAAUUGUGUUGAAGACGAAGGUUGUUUCUCGUCUCUGGCACACUUCUGAUAAUUUUCACAUUUCUGGACCAAGUCCAUUGCAUCCGAAGCUGCCUUCGACCAAUAAAAACCUUGUCUAAAGGCCUUUCCCAGUUGAGGCCUGGAUCCGAUGUGGGCUCCACAUAGUCCUACAUGUAUUCCUUCAUUAAUUCCUGUCCUUCAUUCCUGGAAAGGCAUUUAAGCAAUGGGGAACAAACUCCAUACUUGUAUAACUCCCCCUCAAUUAUUACAUACGGUUUUGUUCUUGCCUCCAUUCUAUUAUUGUAAGCUUCAUCGUCUGAGAGGCGGUUGCCUUGGAGAAGGAUAUUAUUUCGGUCCUCCAGUCUUCACUAUGUACAGGUGAGAUUCUGAGCACUGCUCUCUCCAUGAGCUCGACUGAGGGUGCUUUUAUUGUUUCAAAAAAUACUUCCGAAGGCAAAGGAAGCCCCUGUGCCGCUGAUUUAGCUAGCAAAUCUGCAUGCUCAUUUUCUCCCCUUGGGAUAUUUUUUUACAGAAAAUCCCUCAAAAGAAGCUUCCAAUCUUCGGACUGCAUCCAAAUACUUCUCAAGCUUUGGGUCUCUUGCCUUGCUACUCUUAUCCACGUGGCCAGAAAUAAUUUGUGAAUCAGUUUUGACGAUUGCCCUUCUUAUUCCCAUUGCCUUUAAUUUCCAAAGCCCUAAAAGAAGAGCUUCAUACUCGGCAAUGUUAUUUGUACAACUGAAGUCUAACUUUAUUGCAUAACAUGUUCUGACUUUAGAGGGUGCCACUAGAACAGCAGCUGCUCCUGCACCGAAGGUUCCCCAAGAUCCAUCACAGAAUACCGUCCAAGCUUUGGCAUCUUUUGUUGUUCUUCACCCUGAGCCCCUGGUGUCUAAUCAGCAAUGAUGUCUGCUAACGCCUGGGACUGAAUUGAGGAUCUAUGUACAUGAUCAAUGAUGAAUUCAUUAAGUUCUGUGGCCCAUUUUCCGAUCCUUCCUAUAGCUUCUCUGUUCCUCAUUAUGUCUUUUAGGGGUUGUGAUGAAGGUACUAUUAUAUGAUAUGCUUGAAAGUAGUGCCGAAGCUUCCUGGAGGCCAUCAAUACGGCAUAUAGUACCUUCUCCAAUUCUGUGUAAUUUUUCUUUGAUAGGCUGAGUACUUCAGAGACGAAGUAUUCCGGUGCUUGUAUUUUUACUUGGCCAUCUUGCUUCUCAUAUACGAGUGUCGCAGUAACCACAACAUGGGAAGCAGCCACAUACAGAAGUAGUGGAGUUCCUGAUGAAGGUGGAGUUAGAGUUGUCAAAUCUAUCAGAUAUUGUUUUAACUCUUCGAAGGCUUUAUAUUGAGCCGGACCCCACUGAAAGACUUCGGCUGACUUCAGUAUUUCAAAGAAUGGUAAAUUCCUCUCUGCUGAUCUUGAUAUAAAUCUAUUCAACGAUGCCAGCCUUCAUGCCAACCGUUGAGCCCCCUUCUUUGAAUUUGGUGCUGCAUCCGAAGGAUAGCUUCGAUUGUGCUUGGAUUAGCUUCGAUGCCCUUUGUUGAUACCAGGCAACCAAGAAACUUGCCCUUCUUCACUCCGAAAACACAUUUUUCUGGGUUCAACUUGAGACCAGCUUGUCUGAAAUUGGCAAACGUCUCUUGCAAAUCAGCAACAUGAUCUUCUUGUUUUGUGCUUUUCACUAUGAUGUCAUCGACAUAAGUCAGCACAUUUCUGCCUAUUUGAGAGUGAAGAACCUUGGCAGUCAUUCUGCUGAAGCUUCCUCCAGCAUUUUUGAGCCCCUCAGGCAUCCGAAGGUAGCAAUAGGUAGCAUCUAAUAGGCUCAUAAGUUAUGAAGCUUGUCUUUGGCUCAUCCUCUUUCUUCAUCCAAAUAUGGUGAUAGCCCGAGUAGCAGUCUAAUAGGCUCAUAAGUUCUGAAGAAGCUGCUGCAUCUACAAGGGAAUCUAUUCUUGGUAAAGGGAACUCAUCCUUCGGACAUGCCUUGUUGAGGUCUGUGAAAUCAAUGCACAUUAUUGAAAGGGAAAUGUGCCCUUGGGCCAUUUCUAAGUAUUUUGGUGAUUUAGUGUCCAACACAAGUGCUUAAAUGAUAAAUUAUGCCAAAUGGUGGAUAAGGUGCAAAUCAAUACAAAGGUAUGAUUCUAGACUUAGUACAUUGGUUUUUGUGUACUAACAUGUUUGUCUAAGUGCUAGAAUCAGAGAAAAUACAAUUGAAAAAGCUUGGAUCGAAGCAGCCAAGAGUCUGCUCAGUCUGGGUGCACUGGACUGUCCGGUGGUGCACCGGACAGUGUCCGGUGCGUCAGGCUGGCGUCUGUCAACUGGCUGCUCUCGGGACUUCGACGGCGGCGUACGACUAUAAAUCACUGGACUGUCCGGUGAGCCAACAGUCGGCCCGGCCAACGGUCGGCCGCGUAAUCCGCUCGCGACGCGUGGCAGAGCCAAUGGUCAGAAGGGGGCACCGGACUGUCCAGUGUGCACCGGACACUGUCCGGUGCGCCAACGGCUCCAAAGCGCCAACGGUCGGCUUCGCCAAAGAAGGAAAGAAAUCCGCACCGGACAGUGUCCGGUGGUGCACCGGACUGUCCGGUGCGCCAGGCGACAGAAGGCAAGAAUUGCCUUCUUGAAAUGCUCUCAACGGCUCCUAGCUGCCUUAGGGCUAUAAAAGGGACCCCUAGGCGCAUGGAGGAGUACACCAAGCAUCCUUUGAGCAUUGUUGAUCACUCACACUUCAUUCUUGCGCACUUGUUCGACAUUCUUAGUGAUUUGAGCUCCGUUCUAGUGAGAACCUUGAGAUAUUGUGUUGAGCUCAAGUCUUGAUAUUGUGUGUGCGUAUUUGCUGUGGUUUUGAGUGUGUCGCUUUCCUCCCUUACUCUAGUGCUUCAUUUUGAUUCUUAUUGUAAGGGCGAGAGACUCCAAGUUGUGGAGAUUCCUCGCAAACGGGAAAGAGUAAAGUAAAGAAGAUCACUGUGGUAUUUAAGUUGAUCAUUGGAUCACUUGAGAGGAGUUGAGUGCAACUCUCGUCCGUUGGGACGCCACAACAUGGAGUAGGCAAGUUUUGUACUUGGCCGAACCACGGGAUAAAUCCUCAUGUCUCUUGUGCUUGUCUUUACUGUGUCUGUUGUGUUUCACAAGAGAACUCCUCUCUAACCACUUGGCCUUAUUGUGCUAACUCCUAAUCAAGUUUUGUUGGAUUAAGUUUCAUGUUUUUACAGGAUCACCUAUUCACCCCCCUCUAGGUGCUCUCAAUUGGUAUUGGAGCCGUUCUCUUCAAGAAAGGGACUAAUCGCCCGAAGAGAUGGAUCCUAAGGGCAAGGGGAUGGUGGUCAAUGAUAAGGAGAAGGAGUCCUUUGUCAAUGAUCCAAAGGAUGACAAGCCUACUGACUCGGGCGCGAGUCACAAAAGAAAAGACAGGAGGAAGAAGAAAACGAGGCGCAUCAAGGAGAUCGUCUACUACGACGACAGCGACGAGUCCUCUUCUUCCCAAAAGGAUAACGACGACAACGACUGCGAGAAAAAGAAGACGGUUAACUCUAAUUUUUCUUUCGAUUACUCUCGUAUUCCUUAAAGUACCAAUGCCCAUUUACUCUCCAUUCCACUUGGCAAACCUCCUCACUUUGAUGGAGAGGACUACGGAUUUUGGAGUCACAAAAUGCGUAGUCACUUGUUCUCUCUCCAUCCAAGCAUAUGGGAGAUAGUAGAAAGUGGAAUGAAAUUUGAUAGUACUGAUAGUCCCAUGUUCAUCAAUGAACAAAUUCAUAAAAAUGCACAAGCUACUACUGUGUUGUUAGCCUCAUUGUGCAGGGAUGAAUACCAUAAGGUGAGCGGCUUGGAUAACGCCAAGCAGAUUUGGGACACCCUCAAGAUCUCUCAUGAGGGAAAUGACGUCAUCAUGCUCACCAAGAUGGAGUUGGUGGAGGGCGAACUUGGGAGAUUCGCAAUGAUCAGGGGCGAGGAGCCAACCCAAACGUACAAUCGGCUAAAGACCCUCGUCAACAAAAUAAGGAGAUAUGGAAGCACGCGAUGGACGGACCACGACGUCGUCCGCCUAAUGCUAAGGUCCUUUACUGUUCUUGAUCCACAUCUUGUGAACAAUAUUCGUGAGAAUCCUAGGUACACCAAGAUGACGCCCGAGGAGAUACUUGGAAAGUUCGUAAGCGGGCGGAUGAUGAUCAAGGAGGCUAGAUACGUUGAUGAUGCAUUGAAUGGCCCAAUCCAAGAGCCUCAAACUAUUGCUCUCAAGGCAACAAGGAGCAAGGAGGCGCUACCUAGCAAGGUGGCGCAAGUUGAGGCGGCCGGACUUAAUGAUGAAGAAAUGGCCCUCAUCAUCAAGCGUUUCAAGACGGCGCUAAGGGGUCGCAAGGAGCAUCCCAACAAGACCAAGACGAAGGGGAAGCACUCAUGCUUCAAAUGUGGUAAGAUUGGUCAUUUUAUCGCUAAUUGUCCCAAUAAUAAUAGUGACCAGGAACAAGGGAACAAGAGGGAAAAGAAGAAGUCUUACAAGAAGGCUAAGGGCGAGGCACACCUUGGAAAGGAGUGGGACUUGGAUUGUUCGUCGUCUGACUCCGACAACGAAGGACUCACCGCCACCGCCUUCAACAAGUCGGCCCUCUUCCCCAACGAGCAUCACACCUGCCUCAUGGCAAGGGAAAAGAAGGUAAGCACUCAUAAUGCUAGUACUUACGCUUCCUCAAGUGAUGAAGAAUCUAGCGAUGAUGAAAUAGACUACUCAUGUUUAUUCAAGGGCCUAGAUAGAACUAAGGUUGAUAAAAUUAAUGAAUUAAUUGAUGCUUUAAAUGAUAAGAAUAGGUUAUUAGAAAAGCAAGAGGAUCUCUUGUAUGAAGAACAUGAUAAGUUUGUAGAAGCACAAAAAUCCCUUGCUUUAGAAAUUAAAAGAAAUGAAAUGCUUUCUUGUGAAUUGUCUACAUGCCAUGACUCUAUCUCUAGCUUAAAGAGCAUAAAUGAUGAUUUGAGUGCUAAGUUAGAAAUAGCUAAUAAAUCAACAUCUUGUGUAGAACAUGUUGUAGUUUGCAAUAGGUGUAAAGACUUUGAUGUUGAUGCUUGUAGUGAACACCUAGUUUCAAUUUCUCAAUUGAAUGAUGAAGUGGCUAGUCUUAAUGCCCAACUUAAGACUAGCAAGAGUGAAUUUGACAAACUUAAAUUUGCAAGGGAUGCCUACAUGAUUGGUAGACACCCCUCAAUUAAGGAUGGUCUUGGCUUCAAGAGGGAAGUCAAGAGCUUAACAAGUCAUAAGGUUUCCAUCUCCGCCAAGGAGAAACGGAAGGCCCCUAUGGCUAGUAGUGCUCAAAAGAACCAUGCUUUCAUGUAUCAUGAUAGGAUACAUUCUAGGAAUGUUUAUAGAAGUUAUGAUGCUUUUGAUUCUCAUGCCAUGAUUGCUUCUAGUUCUUCUAUUAUGCAUGAUAGAAAUUUGGCUAGGAAAAAUGUUGUUCAUCAUAUGCCUAGAAGAAAUAUUGUUCAUGUUCCUAGGAAAGUAAUGGAUGAACAUUCUACAAUUUAUUAUGCUUGCAAUGCUUCCUUUGCUAUUUGUAGAAAGAAUAAGAAGGUAAUUGCUAGGAAAUUAGGGGCCAAAUGUAAGGGAGACAAGACUUGCAUUUGGGUCCCUAAGACUAUUUUAACUAACCUUGUAGGACCCAACAUGAGUUCGGUACCUAAGACCCAAGCCUAAAUUUGCCUUGCAGGUUUAUGCAUCCGAGGGCUCAAGCUGGAUUAUCGACAGCGGAUGCACAAACCACAUGACGGGGGAAAAGAGGAUGUUCUCUUCCUACGUCAAGAACAAGGAUCCCCAAGAUUCAAUCAUAUUCGGUGAUGGGAACCAAGACAAGGUGAAAGGGUUAGGAAAAAUUGCUAUUUCAUCCAAGCACUCUAUUUCAAAAGUGUUCUUAGUUGAGUCGCUUGGAUAUAACUUGUUGUCUGUUAGUCAACUUUGUAAUAUGGGAUAUAAUUGUUUAUUCACAAAUGUAGAUGUGUCUGCCUUUAGAAGAAGUGAUGGUUCACUAGCUUUUAAGGGUGUACUAGACGGCAAACUAUAUUUAGUUGAUUUUGCAAAAGAGGAGGUCGGUCUAGAUGCAUGCUUAAUUGCUAAGACUAGCAUGGGCUGGCUGUGGCAUCGCCGUUUAGCACAUGUGGGGAUGAAGAACCUUCACAAGCUUCUAAAGGGAGAACAUGGGAUAGGACUAACUAAUGUAACUUUCGAAAAAGAUAGACCUUGUGCAGCUUGUCAAGCAGGAAAACAAGUGGGAAGCUCUCAUCAUGCCAAAAAUGUGAUGACAACAUCAAGACCCCUAGAGUUACUUCAUAUAGACCUCUUCGGACCCGUCGCCUAUCUAAGCAUAGGAGGAAGUAAGUAUGGUCUUGUUAUAGUUGAUGAUUUUUCCCUGUAACACCCCGGGGUCCACAAACACCCUGGAAUGCUACUAAACAACACUUCUGACAUCUAUAUAUAAAAUUUCGGCAGCAUCCCCUUUGCAAAAUUGCAUAAAUGAGGGGGCAACAGUGUAUAAACAUACAUCAUGACAAAAAUAUACUAAGUAUUAUUAAUCGGCUAGCAAAGAGAAGUUAAACAUACGACAUGAACUGAAUUAACUAGUGCGCACGACUAGUUAAAAAAACUUCCUUUGACAAUAAAUUUCUAAUUAAAUCAUGGCUGCGCCUGGGCAGCGCUAUUGUGAGAGUGAAAGUGGACGUGCUGCUACUCCCCUCAUUCCCAACAUGUAUCAAGUACCUGCAUUGAGUAAUGCAAGAGUGAGAUGACACAUCUCAGCAAGUAAAAUAAUAUCAAACUGUUUAACCACAUAAGAACAUUGUUUUACCACCACUUGAUUCCACAACCUUCUUAUUACAAAGGUGCAGCACGUAUACAACGUACAACACACCUAGUCACCACACCUCAUAGGUAGAAACCACAAUAGUAACAUAGUAAUGUCACACUUCAUAUAUACCUCAUGAGUGCAAAUGUCUGCAAAUGCAAGGAUGACUUCUAUCUUCAUACCUCUAAGGAUAUGAAGUCGCAUCGUACCCCUCCUCGGGCAACGUACGAUGCUAAAAAUGUACCGGUAUGGUCGGACCAUAAGAUCACGACAUAACUUCAAAAUGCAAGAUGGAUGAUGCGAUGUGCAUGUCAUGCCUACAACACUUCAUAUAACGUGAUUCAAAAAGACACUUCAACUUCAUCAAGAUGGGAAUCAACCACAUAUAUCAUUACCAAAUUAUGAUCAUCCACAAUAUUAGACAAUUGAGAAUUAAUACUUCCAAACAAAUAACUUCAUCAUAGAAUUCAAUGAUUAACAUAAUUAAAACUUAUGCAUACUCAAUGACAGGGAAUAGGAUGCAAACCAAACGGUAGCAACCACCACUGUAUUUACUUGCCUUUACCGGAAGUUUGGGCAAAAACCUAAGUACGAUCCGGAAGUCCACCACCUAUUUUUGACACACAACUUAGUGCACCAAUUUCACAUAAUCAGGCUCAUAAGCGACGCCGCACCUACGCACAAACUCAAACCCCGCCGCGGGUUACAUCUCUCCCCACACCCACCAAACUGCAGCGGCGCUGCCUAAUAAUUUCAUAACUUUAAAUUUAUUACAGCAGUGGUAACAAACAAAAACUCCAGAGGCAUCUACAUAAAAUUCCCUACAAGUUUUGUAUACAAUUUAUAAUUAAAUUCCAACAUCUAAUUAGCCCAAAACAGUCCACAAGAUGAACCCUGUAAUCUGUUUUUUUUUGUCUUUUGGACAGCGACAUACCCGGAUUCAAACAGCGAUAUCUUUUAAAAUAUAAUUCCAAAUCAAGCGCAUAAGUACCCAUUGGAAAGAUAAGACAAAGCCCUACAUGAUUAUUAUACUGGUUAACACUAAUUACCCACGAAAAAUUCCCAGAAACUGCUAAUACUACUUCUGUUCACCCACCUGAAAAAUCUGUUUUUUUGGACAGCAACAUACCGGAUUCAAACAACGAUAUCUCCUAAAUUAUAACUCCGAAUCGAGCGCAUAAGUACUCGUUGGAAAGGUAUGACAAAGCUCUACAUGAUUCUCCCACUGAUCCCUACUAAUUGCCCACGAAAAAUUCCCAGAAAUCCCUAGAACUACUGUUGUUCGUCCACCCACUAAAUUUCUGGACAGCACCUCUACCAAAUCGCAUAGAUAAACAUGUAACCAAUUGGAUUGCAGCACAAAUACAACAAAAUGAUCAUGAAAAUCACCUUGGGUUCCUCCUUUCCUCCUUCUUUUCUUCCUUCUUCCUCCCUCCAAACUCCCAUGGAAGACUCGCACCCACACGACGGACACCAAGCGGGGAGGCUCCACCUUGGAGAGGAAGAGGUGGGGGGGGGCGGCUAGGGUUUAGGGGUGGCGCUGCAAUCACUUGGGGAAGAAGGAGAGAGAUUGGGGCGGCUGCAAGAGUGGAAGAGAGGAAGAGAGAGGGGGGCGGCCAAAGGGGUGGGGGAGUGAGAGGGAGGGGGCGGCUAGGGUUAAGGGGGGAAACUAAUGGGCUCCCCACCACCGGAUCGAGAUCCACGGCCCAAACUCGCUCUCACGUCUGCUCCCGACCCCAGCGCACAAAUCCAACAAGUAUUCUACUGUUUUACUGGUGAAUGCUUCCUAAAAAACUCCAACCCCAAGGGAAAAAUAAAUUUAACUUCUUUUCGGAAAAUUGGGUAUCACACUCUACCCCCCUGAAAAAGAAUUCGACCUCGAAUUCCGACGCUUCUAUCGGAACGACAAGGAAAGAUCAAUGAAUCAACAAAACUCACACAUAAAGAAAGGUUCGGGUACUUCUGCCGCAUCAGCUCCUCAAGCACCUAGGAUUCUAAGAUACGCAGCAGACGACACUCAAGAGUCUGGUCUUGCUACACAGGAAUCGGCUCUAGCUCGAUUUGAUGGUCUGGAUUCCGCAAAUACUUUCUCAACAUAAAGACAUGGAAUACAUGGUGUACUCUGAUCAUAGACUCCGACAAUUGUAGGUGCUAAGCCAAGCUGCCAACUCGGGCUAAGAUAGUAGACGGUCCUAUAUAACUCGGACAAAGCUUUCCUAACACCAAAUCAACAUUGACACAUGCAAGUACUUCAAUGAAUAUAUAUAUAUGAAUGCAAUACAUACUGUGCUCAAAUAGCCUAAACCAAACCUAUCCAAACAAGAGUAACUUCAAAAGAUCAAUUUAAUGCUUGCAUAUUUCUAGACAGCAACACAACGAUUAUUUGUUUUCCUCAUAACUCACAAAAUAUGCAUCCAAUAGAAGUAAACUAGGACUUUAUGGAAAGCUUACAAAGUCCACUAUACCCUUGGUAUUAUCAUCACCACAAGAUUUGACACUUAGAAAGGCCAAACAAUGCGAAACGUAAUUUUUGUCCAGACUUGGACAGAAUUCAACUACUCACUUCAAAAAUCCAUAAUUGGAGUCUCAGUCAUCCAAUUCAGGCGCUCAUAGACUUUUUAGAAAGCCAGUAAAAUUGUCUAUAUUUCAUUUAUAAACCUAUCAGGUUAAUUCAAUGCAUAUCAAGAUCAAAAGACAUAAGAAAGGCUUUGCUGUCCAAAUUUGGACAGAUUCAAAGAUUCCAAUUAAAACAGUUGUAGCUUAACUUAUAGGUCACCAAAAAGGGUGAUCCAAAAUUUGUUGGAAGGCUUAAGAAAAGUACUACCACUUCUUUAUAAUUUAUAAGAACUGAUUCGAAGUUUAACUUGGGCAAACAAGGUCAGUUUCGAAAUCUGUACAGAAUCUGGACAAUUUCCAAGACUAGACUUGAGAAAAUCAUAACUCCCAAACUACUGGACCUAUGGUCAUGAAAUUUUACACAAGUAAGAUGAAGAAAUUGGCUACAACUUUUAUAUACAACACCUCUACCGAAAACAUGGUGUAAUUCAUUGAACUAGUGGCAUAACCAAAAUUGGUCAUGUAGCCCCGAACAUCAAGCAAUAGAUUUAUUCAGGUUCUAUACUCUUCUAAGAUUAAGCGUUCAUCGAAGGACUAAUAACUUUAGGUUCUUCAUUACGAGACACUUAGAGCCAACAUAAGGGUAGAAGCAAUAUGCUUACUUUUUAAAUCAUUUUACAUGCAAGCAAGAAUCGAUUUAAGCAUACUACGCCUGCCCAUAUAUCCAUCCAAGCACAUUCUAUACAUUAUAUCAUCCCAUCGAAGAACUCUCUCUUUUUUUUUUAAUUAUACUAUGCAUAUAUAUAUCCAUCCAAUAACUCACACAAUCUGCAUCUCCACCUAGACUUCACACGACGUAACUAUUUUAUACUUACGCAAACACGCCAAGACCAGCAAACAUGGCUUCACAACAAUACGUACUGGCCUAUUCAAAUAUCCCUCGCUAUCUCUCUGUUUCAGCCCACGCUCCGCAUAUACAAUAACAACAUAACUAUCACAACCACUACAUCUAUUCCCUCCCACCAUACAACAUAAUUAACAUGGAUUGCGAAAGAGCUCACCAUAACUAAACCAAACUCCCAAAGAAAUAUCCUUAAAUAGAAAAUUGACUAUCAACAACACAAAUGCUCAUUCUGUCUCUACCUCUUUCACUAUAAAAUCAAUGAUAACAAAGAAAUAUUGUAAAAUCAUCUAAACUUCAUGACCUACAACUUUUGUAUUCAAAGGAUAAACAAAGUUUUAUUUUAUCUCCAUUUUUUUUAAUUUGGCUUGUAAGGCGACAUACAUGAUCUGCCACCAGAACCUGACGAAACAUGACCCAUAAAUUCAAAACCUCAUAACUCUCUACAUCUAACAAAAUUUUACAAAUAUAAACUCAUUGAAAAUAUUAUAACAUUCCCUAAAAAUUUUAUUGUAAUGAGUGUCUCAGAAUUGGUUUCCAAACCGAAAAAACAAUGCAACUGCUUUGUUGCAAAACUGAUAGGUUAGAAACAAUGGACAACUAAAAUUCAAAAUACUAUAACUCCUGCUAUACUCAACUUAAAACUACAACGAACACGCGUUGGAAAAGUUUGGAAAUUGUCCACGACUUUUGCAAUAAAGUUGCACCCAAAUUUAUCUUUAUAGCCCUCAACUCUGUAUGACCUACAGCUAAACUCAGCCUGAGAUACUGCACAUCAGAGAUUCGACUUAUAUCCGGACAACCACCUCUCCCAAUCUAUUUAACAGACAAUUACAAGUAAAUACCCAUUAAAAGGUACUAAGAAAAACUAAAAGUUUUUCUUAAAGAGAAUUCCCAAAUUUGAGCUUUGAAACUAUCAAAACGCGGUCGAUUUAUUAGUGGUUUUUAACGACACCUAAAGUUCAGACACAACGGUGCAACAACUUCAGAGUAGCCUAACUCCAAUUAUAUGGAAUGAAAAUUACAAACCAAUACUCUUUGGGAAGAUCAUGAAAUUACUAAAACUUUCAUAAUCCAACAAAACCCAAAAUUUACCGUAUUCAAUGUCUAUACUUCCGUACAAAAUUAAGGCUGCUAUAGGAAACCCAUAACUCUCAAAUGUUUAGACCAAACUGGGUGAUUGAGCAUCCUAUGCAAAGAUGAAGAAACCUACUACAAAACAUUCUAGAUAAGUGAAGCCUGAUUCAGCCUCCAACUAAUUUAAAAUGACUCCCAAAACAAAACAACACCUUACCCAUAAUAAAAAACAAUAUAAAAUAAAACCCAAGGCAUUGGCAGGUGCGAUCAACACUAGGAUUUUGCACUACCAAAUGGGGAUGCAACUCCCCAAAGCCUUUAAGCAACACUUUACCUAAUAGGUUAGAACACUAAGCACAUCAAUCAACGAAUUCAACAACCUCAUUUGUUAAUGCCACUAAGGUCAAACAUCCAUGUAUCGACAAUGUAUGAAACACCUGACAUACCCGUCUCUAGCACUAUAAAACAUGGUUGUUAUUACACUAGAAUCCAACUAUUAGAGCUCUCCACAACUAUUCUGUUGACGUGAAGCAAAUGGUGCUCAUGUCAUGUAACGUCUUUUCCUCCUCUCAAAAGAGAUAAAAUUUGCAAUACUCAUAAAGCAAUGGAGGGAUAACAACAAGAAAAACUAAUGUACUUCUUGACACAGACUCAUGCAAAAGCUUCAUAAAUAUUACUUUCAAUACUAAAAUAAUAACACGAUACUAUGCUCAACAGGAGUAAUUGGACGUCAAUAAGACAAUCCACAUAACCAAACUACCUUCAUUAACCUCACAUACAACAAAACCUACUAUUACCGCACUUGAACAAUUUGUACCUCGUGAUAUCACAGGAUGCAUUCAAAGUAGUAGACAUACAUGAUCUAUCAGACCAUCAUUCAUAAAAGAAAAAUCUCAAUCCGAUGCAACAACCCCAUCAUUAAAGAGAUAGAUGACUAACAAACAUAAGCAACUCCCAGUUAAGCAUUGACUUCGUUUAAGAUAAAGCGGUCCAAAUAAUGAUUCAAUAAGCAUGCAUAGAGAAACUGCUCAUAAAAAAAAUCAAACUGCCAUACAAUGUUGGCAAAUAAAAAAAUAUAAAACAGGUUGUCAAUAUCGCCCACAUGACUAGCCUGCAACAACUAAAAAUUAUGCAUAGCCUUUAUGGCUAUUGAAACAAGCCAUAGAAGGAAAACAUGCACGACAUAAAAUCCACUUGAAACCACCCUAUUUAUUGUUAAAAAUAAGGUUGCACAUAAUAAGAAAAUCUAUCAGGUAGACAUGGUUGGACUUAUCAAUCUACGUCAUCUCACAAAUUCACUCGAGUUCUACCAGUCUAAAGAUUUCAUAGACAUUACAAUGUUGCCUCUGCUCUAUAGAGACAAACCAAUUUUAUACUAAGAUCAAGUUAGCAAGUAGCCACACUAGCCUAAAAAAAGUGAGGCGCAAAGCAUUGCACCCAUGGAAAUAUUACAUUGAUAAGUUGGGUUGUAACCCAACAGUCAAUCAAACUCAACAACACCAUAAAACUACAUUAUAUAGUGUUUUCACACUACACCAAGUCGGAUUAGACCCACUAUACACAAGCUCAAUAAACAAUCGGUCCUAUAAGUACAAGAACCCAAGAAUCCUUUUGGAAAAAAAACAUCCACAAUCAAGCAUAUAGAAAUAUAUGAUGGUAAUAGCUCAGAGAAUUCAAAACAUUGCAUUCCAAAAAACAUCAUGACGAUAUGUAUAUAAAACAAGUACAUUAGUAUCUUCACUUGCAUAAUAUCUUCAAUAACAACCACAUCAAGAAACCAAUAUUAAAUAGAAGUAACAUAUCAUAUCAAGCAUUACGUCGUUAACGACAUACCCCAUCAAACCAUAAAGGGAUUUGGAGUAAGGAAGUUCUAGUCAUCUAUACAAUAAAAUACUAAUAUGAAAGAUAUACGAACCCAUACCCUUCCUAUAUGUGCAAGUGUGUCAAAUUUAUCUUCAAAUUGCGUAGAAUCUGAAGCCUAUCCUCUGAAACCAACUGUAACACCCCAGGGUCCACAAACACCCUGGAAUGCUACUAAACAACACUUCUGACAUCUAUAUACAAAAUUUCGGCAGCAUCCCCUUUGCAAAAUUGCAUAAAUGAGGGGGCAACAGUGUAUAAACAUACAUCAUGACAAAAAUAUACUAAGUAUUAUUAAUCGGCUAGCAAAGAGAAGUUAAACAUACGACAUGAACUGAAUUAACUAGUGCGCACGACUAGUUAAAAAAACUUCCUUUGACAAUAAAUUUCUAAUUAAAUCAUGGCUGCGCCUGGGCAGCGCUAUUGUGAGAGUGAAAGUGGACGUGCUGCUACUCCCCUCAUUCCCAACAUGUAUCAAGUACCUGCAUUAAGUAAUGCAUGAGUGAGAUGACACAUCUCAGCAAGUAAAAUAAUAUCAAACUGUUUAACCACAUAAGAACAUUGUUUUACCACCACUUGAUUCCACAACCUUCUUAUUACAAAGGUGCAGCACGUAUACAAUGUACAACACACCUAGUCACCACACCUCAUAGGUAGAAACCACAAUAGUAACAUAGUAAUGUCACACUUCAUAUAUACCUCAUGAGUGCAAAUGUCUGCAAAUGCAAGGAUGACUUCUGCCUUCAUACCUCUAAGGAUAUGAAGCCGCAUCGUACCCCUCCUCGGGCAACAUACGAUGCUAAAAAUGUAUCGGUACGGUCGGACCAUAAGAUCACGACAUAACUUCAAAAUGCAAGAUGGAUGAUGCGAUGUGCAUGUCAUGCCUACAACACUUCAUAUAACGUGAUUCAAAAAGAUACUUCAACUUCAUCAAGAUGGGAAUCAACCACAUAUAUCAUUACCAAAUUAUGAUCAUCCACAAUAUUAGACAAUUGAGAAUUAAUACUUCCAAACAAAUAACUUCAUCAUAGAAUUCAAUGAUUAACAUAAUUAAAACUUAUGCAUACUCAAUGACAGGGAAUAGGAUGCAAACCAAACGGUAGCAACCACCACUGUAUUUACUUGCCUUUACCGGAAGUUUGGGCAAAUCCCUAAGUACGAUCCGGAAGUCCACCACCUGUUUUUGACACACAACUUAGUGCACCAAUUUCACAUAAUCAGGCUCAUAAGCGACGCCGCACCUACGCACAAACUCAAACCCCGCCGCGGGUUACAUCUCUCCCCACACCCACCAAACUACAGCGGCGCUGCCUAAUAAUUUCAUAACUUUAAAUUUAUUACAGCAGUGGUAACAAACAAAAACUCCAGAGGCAUCUACAUAAAAUUCCCUACAAGUUUUGUAUACAAUUUAUAAUUAAAUUCCAACAUCUAAUUAGCCCAAAACAGUCCACAAGAUGAACCCUGUAAUCUGUUUUUUUUGUCUUUUGGACAGCGACAUACCCGGAUUCAAACAGCGAUAUCUUUUAAAAUAUAAUUCCAAAUCAAGCGCAUAAGUACUCAUUGGAAAGAUAAGACAAAGCCCUACAUGAUUAUUAUACUGGUUAACACUAAUUACCCACGAAAAAUUCCCAGAAACUGCUAAUACUACUGCUGUUCACCCACCUGAAAAAUCUGUUUUUUUGGACAGCAACAUAACCGGAUUCAAACAACGAUAUCUCCUAAAUUAUAACUCCGAAUCGAGCGCAUAAGUACUCGUUGGAAAGGUAUGACAAAGCUCUACAUGAUUCUCCCACUGAUCCCCACUAAUUGCCCACGAAAAAAAUCCCAGAAAUCCCUAGAACUACUGUUGUUCGUCCACCCACUAAAUUUCUGGACAGCACCUCUACCAAAUCGCAUAGAUAAACAUGUAACCAAUUGGAUUGCAGCACAAAUACAACAAAAUGAUCACGAAAAUCACCUUGGGUUCCUCCUUUCCUCCUUCUUUUCUUCCUUCUUCCUCUCUCCAAACUCCCAUGGAAGACUCGCACCCACACGACGGACACCAAGCGGGGAGGCUCCACCUUGGAGAGGAAGAGGUGGGGGGGGGCUAGGGUUGAGGGGUGGCGCUGCAAUCACUUGGGGAAGAAGGAGAGAGAUUGGGGCGGCUGCAAGAGUGGAAGAGAGGAAGAGAGAGGGGGGGCGGCCAAAGGGGUGGGGGAGUGAGAGGGAGGGGGCGGCUAGGGUUAAGGGGGGGGGGGGGAAACUAAUGGGCUCCCCACCGCCGGAUCGAGAUCCACGGCCCAAACUCGCUCUCACGUCUGCUCCCGACCCCAGCGCACAAAUCCAACAAGUAUUCUACUGUUUUACUGGUGAAUGCUUCCUAAAAAAACUCCAACCCCAAGGGAAAAAUAAAUUUAACUUCUUUUCGGAAAAUUGGGUAUCACAUUCCCGCUUCACUUGGGUAUUCUUUUUGCAGGAUAAAUCUGAAACCCAAGGGACCCUCAAGCGCUUCCUAAGGAGAGCCCAAAACGAGUUUGAGCUCAAAGUGAAGAAGAUAAGGAGCGACAAUGGGUCCGAGUUCAAGAACCUUCAAGUGGAGGAGUACCUUGAGGAGGAAGGAAUCAAGCACGAGUUCUCCGCUCCCUACACACCACAGCAAAAUGGUGUAGUAGAGAGGAAGAAUAGGACACUUAUAGACAUGGCGAGGACAAUGCUUGGAGAGUUCAAGACGCCCGAGCGGUUUUGGUCGGAAGCCGUGAACACGGCUUGCCAUGCCAUCAAUCGGGUCUACCUUCAUCGCCUCCUCAAGAAGACGUCAUACGAGCUACUAACCGGUAACAAACCCAAUGUUUCGUAUUUCCGAGUUUUUGGGAGUAAAUGCUACAUUCUAGUGAAGAAAGGUAGGAAUUCCAAAUUUGCUCCCAAAGCGGUAGAAGGGUUUUUGUUAGGGUAUGACUCAAAUACAAAGGCGUAUAGGGUCUUCAACAAAUCAUCGGGUUUGGUUGAAGUCCCUAGCGACGUCGUAUUUGAUGAGACUAAUGGCUCUCCAAGAGAGCAAGUUGUUGAUCUUGAUGAUGUAGAUGAAGAAGACGUUCCAACGGCCGCAAUACGCACCAUGGCGAUUGGAGACGUGCGGCCACAGGAACAAAAGGAGCAAGAUCAACCUUCUUCCUCAACAAUGGGGCAUCCCCCAACUCAAGACGAUGAACAGGUUCAUCAAGAGGAGGCAUGUGAUCAAGGGGGAGCACUGGAUGUCCAAGAGGAAGAGGAACAAGCACCCCAGGCCCCUCCAACUCAAGUUCGAGCAACGAUUCAAAGGAAUCAUCCCGUCGACCAGAUUUUGGGUGACAUUAGCAAGGGAGUAACUACUCGCUCUAGAUUAGUUAAUUUUUGUGAGCAUUACUCCUUUGUCUCUUCUAUUGAGCCUUUCAGGGUAGAAGAGGCCUUGCUAGAUCCGGACUGGGUGUUGGCCAUGCAGGAAGAGCUCAAUAACUUCAAAAGAAAUGAAGUUUGGACACUGGUGCCUCGUCCCAAGCAAAAUGUUGUGGGAACCAAGUGAGUGUUCUGCAACAAACAAGAUGAGCACGGAGUGGUGACAAGGAACAAGGCUCGACUUGUGGCAGAAGGUUAUGCCCAAGUCGCAGGUUUGGACUUUGAGGAGACUUUUGCUCCUGUGGCUAGGCUAGAGUCCAUUCGUAUUUUGCUAGCAUAUGCCGCUCACCAUUCUUUCAGGUUGUUCCAAAUGGAUGUGAAGAGCGCUUUCCUCAACGGGCCAAUCAAGGAGGAGGUGUACGUGGAGCAACCCCCUGGCUUCGAGGAUGAAUGGUACCCCGACCACGUGUGUAAGCUCUCUAAGGCGCUCUAUGGACUUAAGCAAGCCCCAAGAGCAUGGUAUGAAUGCCUUAGAGAAUUUUUAAUUGCUAAUGCUUUCAAGGUUGGGAAAGCCGAUCCGACUUUAUUCACUAAGACUUGUGAUGAUGAUUUAUUUGUGUGCCAAAUUUAUGUCGAUGACAUAAUAUUUGGUUCUACUAACCAAAAGUCUUGUGAAGAGUUGCGUAGUGAGCUAAAUGUCUUAGAUUCGCGGAACUUGGAUUGAUCUAUAGCAUACAUGUGUUUAUGCCUUGAUCAUGUUCCUUAAUGCAUUUUCUUGUUUAUUUAUGGUGCUCAAGUUGUACAAGUACUCCCCGGACCUCACAAGUCCGUUUGCAAGUGAUGCACAUAUUUAGGGGGAGAUGUGCUACAACUUGACCCUUUGAGACUAACUGUGUGCUUGAGUUUGCUCAAUUUAGUCACAAAGGAGGUUUGAAAGGGAAAAGGUGGACUUGGACCAUGCAAGACUUCCACUGCACUCCGAUGAAAGAGUAAAUGAUUCCAAGUUCAUCUUUGUACUCUUAUUGCCUUUGUACUCUUAUUUGAAGAUUUUGGUGAGGCAAUGGGGUUUAAGGGCCAAGAUUGAUCCUGUUUUGGUGCUUGAUGCCAAAGGGGGAGAAAAUAAGGCCAAAGCAACAAAUGGAUCAGCUACCACUUGAGAAUUUUGAAAAUAGUAGAAUAGAGCUUUUGGUUAGUCAAAAAUCUCUUAUUGUCUCUUUUGUCAAAAGUUGGCCUCUUGUGGGGAGAAUGGUUAAUUAUGGGAAAAAGGGGGAGUUUUUGAAAUCUUUGAUCAAUUUCUCUUGGAACAACUCACUUUAUGUCUCAACAAGUGUGUUUGACUUAGAGAUAGGAAAUUGAGGUCGAUUUGCAAAAACAAACCAAGUGGUGGCAAAGAAUGAUCCAAAUAUGCCAAAUUUGAUUCAAAGCAAAUUUGUGUUCUCAUUUGAAUUGAUGUUGCACUUCUUUUAGUUGCUUUUAUGUUGUGUUGGCAUAAAUCACCAAAAAGGGGACAUUCAAAGGGAAAUGUGCCCUUGGGCCAUUUCUAAGUAUUUUGGCGAUUUAGUGUCCAACACAAGUGCUUAAAUGAUAAAUUAUGCCAAAUGGUGGAUAAGGUGCAAAUCAAUACAAAGGUAUGAUUCUAGACUUAGUACAUUGGUUUUUGUGUACUAACAUGUUUGUCUAAGUGCUAGAAUCAGAGAAAAUACAAUUGAAAAAGCUUGGAUCGAAGCAGCCAAGAGUCAGCUCAGACUGGGUGCGCCGGACUGUACGGUGGUGCACCGGACAGUGUCCGGUGCGCCAGGCUGGCGUCUGUCAACUGGCUGCUCUCGGGACUUCGACGGCGGCGUACGGCUAUAAAUCACCGGACUGUCCGGUGGUGCACCGAACUGUCCGGUGAGCCAACAGUCGGCUCGGCCAACGGUCGGCCGCGUAAUCCGCUCGCGACGCGUGGCAGAGCCAACGGUCAGAAGGGGGCACCGGAAUGUCCGGUGUGCACCGGACAGUGUCCGGUGCGCCAAUGGCUCCAAAGCGCCAACGGUCGGCUUCGCCAUAGAAGGAAAGAAAUCCGCACCGGACAGUGUCUGGUGGUUCACCGGACUGUCUGGUGCGCCAGGCGACAGAAGGCAAGAAUUGCCUUCUUGAAAUGCUCUCAACGGCUCCUAGCUGCCUUGGGGCUAUAAAAGGGACCCCUAGGCGCAUGGAGGAGUACACCAAGCAUCCUUUGAGCAUUGUUGAUCACUCACACUUCAUUCUUGCGCACUUGUUCGACAUUCUUAGUGAUUUGAGCUCCGUUCCAGUGAGAACCUUGAGAUAUUGUGUUGAGCUCAAGUCUUGAUAUUGUGUGUGCAUAUUUGUUGUGGUUUUGAGUGUGUCGCUUUCCUCCCUUACUCUAGAGCUUCAUUUUGAUUCUUAUUGUAAGGGCGAGAGACUCUAAGUUGUGGAGAUUCCUCGCAAACGGGAAAGAGUAAAGUAAAGAAGAUCACUGUGGUAUUCAAGUUGAUCAUUGGAUCACUUGAGAGGAGUUGAGUGCAACUCUCGUCCGUUGGGACGCCACAACGUGGAGUAGGCAAGUUUUGUACUUGGCCGAACCACGGGAUAAAUCCUCGUGUCUCUUGUGCUUGUCUUUACUGUGUCUGUUGUGUUUCACAAGAGAACUCCUUUCUAGCCACUUGGCGUUAUUGUGCUAACUCCUAAUCAAGUUUUGUUGGAUUAAGUUUCAAGUUUUUACAGGAUCACCUAUUCACCCCCCUCUAGGUGCUCUCAAUUAUCCAUUUCCCAUUAGCUUUCUUCACCAUAACGGUGUUAGCCGGCCACUCUGGAUAUGUUACUUCUCUGAUAACACCGGUACUGAGAAGUCUCUUUACUUCAUUUCGUGCACCUUCGGCUUUAUCAUCAGACAUUUUCGGAAGCCUCUGCUUUCUUGGUCUGAAGGAUGGGUCCACAUUGAGUGAAUGCUCAAUGACGUCUCUAUUGACACCAUAGAGAUCAUUAGCUGUCCAAGCGAAGACAUCUUCGUUGUUGAACAAGAAUCUAAGCAGAGUCUUUUCCUGUUCACCGGAUAGCUGAGAUCCCCGCAAUACCUUUUGGUUUGCUAUGUCUUCACACAAGAGCAUAGGCUUUGGCUGAUCUGCUGAAGCAGCCUUCUCUCUUUUGUGCUUAUACUACUAAUAAGCUUCGGCUUCAUCUAUAUUAUGGAUAGCCUUCGAAUCCGUCCAACUCCCUUCAGCCCUCCUAGCAGCUUCUUGACUUCCGUGAACAACAAUAGGCCCUUGUUCCAAAGGUAUCAUCAUGCAUAAAUAUGCUAGAUGAAGUAUUGCUUCGAAGGCAUUAAGCGUCCCUUGACCAAUGAUUGCAUUGUAUGGAUACUCCAUAUCAACAAUGUCAAAGACAACCUGUUCAGUUCUUGUGUUAUGGACAUAGCCGAAGGUAAGUGACAUUGUUAUCUUGCCAAGUGCCACAAUCUAUCUUCCUCCAAAGCCACAAAGAGGGUGCGUUGCAUCGUGUAUCUUAUCUUCUGGCUCUUUCAUUUGCCUGAAAGCCUUUGCAAAGAUAAUGUCCGCUGCGCUGCCUAUGUCAACUUGGACAUUGUGGACCAGAAAUCCCUUGAUGGCACAAGAUAUAACCAUUGCAUCGUUGUGGGGAUAAUCUUUGAGCUGAAGAUCUUCCUGAGAGAAGGUAAUUAGAAUGUGAGACCACAUGGAUUUGAUGAAGGGUCCUUGCACCCCAACUUGUUGUACCCUUCUUUGUGCUUCCUUCUUCUCCUUCUUGUUGGCUGGUUUAGAGCUUGAACCACUUGUGAUUGGGAGCACCAGCUUCGUGGCUGAAGGUGCUACAGCUUGAUUGUUGUGCGAAGCCAUCGUCACAACCGUGGAAGUGAGUUCACCGGAGGUGGGCGCCAAUGUUGGUCCUUGUUCUCGGAUGCUACACAUCAAGAACAAAGCAACACAAUUGUUAACGAUUAGGGACCUUCGUCCUUCGAAGCAUUAUCUCCCCUGGGAUAUAUGAUCUUCAGGCGAAGGUCAAGAAGGGCAUACCUUCAUCAUUUCAGUGAAUGAAAUAUAAAUAAAGACAUAUGAAAUACAAAGGAAUAUAAACAAUCAUUACAAAUCAUUAUAUUAUUUACAUUAUCGUUUUAUAAACAUGGAUAAACAUCAAUGAUAUUUAUAUUACAUUUAUACCUUCGGUUUGACAGAAGAUGGAAAAGCGAGAGUGACGCGAGAGUGAUUAUAAUUCAGCGUGAACAGUACGGGGGUACUGUUCAUCUAUUUAUAGGCAUGGGACGCAGCCCGGACAAAAUUACAUCCAUGUCCCUGAUAAUUAAUUAUAAUCAUAUUACAGAUUAUCAGGGGCUAUACAGUCUUUUCCUCUUUAAGUUGGUAUCGUCCUUCGUCUUUAGCAUGUCACCAUGCCGAAGCUCCUUCAAUCGUAGCUUUGGCUUAUAUCUUCAUGUCACACCUGCUUAUGUAUUGUCCUACCGAAGGUGUUUUUGCUUAGAGGACCUUCGGCGAAGAAGAAGGCCCCCAACAUAACCUAUCAUAGACAGGUAUGCCUUUUGAUCAACGGACUUACCUCCUUUGUCGAGGUCCAAGUGUCCGUCCAUUCCCAUCGGCGUCUUAGAGGGCUUUGCAUCCUUCAUCCCAAACCUCUUGAGUAAGUCUUGAGUGUACUUCGUUUGAGAGAUGAAGGUUCCUUCCUUGAUUUGCUUUACUUGGAAUCCAAGGAAGUAGUUCAACUCGCCCAUCAUAGACACCUCGAAUUUCUGCAUCAUUACCCUGCUAAACUCAUCACAAGACUUUUGAUUAGUAGAACCAAAAAAUAUGUCAUCGACAUAUAUUUGGCAUACAAACAAAUGACCAUUAAAAGUCUUAGUAAAAAGAGUAGGAUCAGCUUUCCCAACCUUGAAAGCAUUGGACAUAAGACUGAUUAUAAGAACCACAAGAGUAAGGGAGGGAACAGAAACACACACAAGAACUAGAGUCGCAACAACAACACGCACACAAGUCAAGAACUGAGCACUCAAAACAACGCAGCGGAGCCACAGCUCAAAGAAGUGCUCAAAUCUCAAAUGGAAUGAAUAGAAUGCGUGCUUGCAGAGUCUAGGCAUCUUAGGAUGUUCAAUGGAGACUUGGUGUAGUGCUCCAUGCGCCUAGGGAUCCCUUUUAUAGCCCCAAGGCAGCUAGGAGCCGUUAGAGUUCCAUUUGGAAGGCUUUGGUUGCCUUCUGUCUGUGGGCGCACCGGACAGUCCGGUGCACCACCGGCUAGUGAACAGUGCGUGAUCUCCUUCCUUUUCUAGCAAAGACGAUCGUUGCCAGCCACGGCCCAUGUGGCACACGCACUGGACUGAGCCACGUGUCACUCGCUGAUCGCUCGGUCGACCGCUGGUCGGGCGCGCGGCUGGCACACCGGACAGUCCGGUUAAUUAUAGCCACGGUGCCCUCAGCAUUUUCCCGAGAGUGACCUGUUCGCCAAGGCGCCAGCCUAGGCACCGAACACACACAUGCUGGUGCAAGUUUGGCUAGACUUAGCCAAACUUCUCCAAUCCAAUUUCUCUCGAUUUGACAAGGUUCCUAGCACUUAGUAGAAUAAUGUUAGUACCAAAAACAAUUUACUAAGUCUAGCAUCAUACCUUGCUUUUUCCAUUUGCAUAUCUUUGAUACUUAGCUUAUAUCAAACAAAACAAUAUGUGUUGAGCAUCUCAUCACUAAAACAUUUAUAGAAAUGGCCCAAAGGCACAUUUCCUUUCAGUUUUUUUGUUGAGUUGUUUUUAGAGGAUCACCUAUUCACCCCCCUCUAGGUGCUCUCAAUUGGUAUCGAAGUCGUUCUCUUCAUCAAGGGACUAACCGCCCAAAGAGAUGGAUCCCAAGGGCAAGGGGGUGGUGAUCAACGACAAAUAGAAGGAGACUCUCAACAUAAAUGAGCCAAAAGGUGACAAGCCCACCGACUCAGGCUCAAACAACAAAAGGAAGGAUGGGAGGAAGAAGAGACACAUCAAGAAAAUCAUAUACUACGAUAGUGACACCUCCUCUUCUGCACCAAGGAAUUAGCCUUUAUGAAAGGGAAAUGUACCCUUGGGCCAUUUCUAAAUGUUUUGGUGAUUAAGUGCCUAACACAUCACUUUGAACUAACAUGCUACUAUGAGUAUGAGCUCAGAGUCAAAGAAAAGGAAAUUGAAGUCUUGGAAGAAAGUUGAACAUCCUAUACAAUUGGAGAAACUAAGGUAUGAUUCUAGCACUUAGUAAAAUGUUUUGGUAUUAACUAUGUUCUACUAAGUGCCAGGGAACUUCUCAAAAUGAGAGAAAUUCAAUUGGAGAAGUUUGGCUUAGGGUAGCCAAACUUGGACCAGUCUACGGUGCACCGGACUGUCCGGUGCGUUUCCGGUGCUCAGGCUGCGUACCCAGCGAACAAGCCACUCUCGGGAAAAAGCCAGGGUGCCGCGGCUAUAAUUCACUGGACUGUCUGGUGUGUCAGCCACGCGCCUGGCCAACGUCGACCGUGCGAUCAGCGGGCACCACUUGGGCUCGGCCAACGGUUACUAGGCCGCACCGGACUAUCUAGUGUGCCACCGGACUGUCCGGUGUGCAAAGGGACCAGAGGGUGGCAAUAGCCGGCUUCGCCAAAUAAGGAAGGUAUCGUGCACUGUUCAAUGUCCGGUGGUGCUCCGGACUGUCUAGUGCGCCAACUGACAGAAGGCAAUCAGAGCCUCGCUAAUGGAGCUCCAACGGCACCUGUGUCCUUGGGGCUAUAAAAGGGACACCUAGGCGCAUGGAGCACUACACCAAGCAUCAUUUGAACAUCCUAAUACACUGAGACAUUGCGAUCAUGCUAGAGCUUUGAUAGUUUGAGAUUUGAGCAAGAGUUUGAAUUGUAAUUCAACUAUGUUGUUUCUUAUGCUCCUCUCUCAACUUGUUAGUGUGUUUUGCUAUGAUUUUUGUCUCUUGUGUGCGGUUCUACUCCCCCUUACUCUUGUGUUCAUUUGAGAUCAAAUUGUGUAAGGCGUGAGGGACUCCAAAUUGUGGAGAUUCCUCACAACAGAAAAAAGUUGAGAUAAGAAAUAGAACCGUGGUACUCAAGUUGAUCAGUGGAUCGCUUGAGAGGGGUUGAGUCCAUCCCUCGUCCAUUGGGACACCACAACAUGGAUUAGGCAAGCAUUUUACGCUUGACCAAACACGGGAUAAAAUCGCCAUGUCAUCUGUCUUUAUACCUUAUAGCGAUUCUACUCUUUCUUAUAGUUCACUUCACUUCAUAAUUGCUCUAAGUUUAAUACUCACCUUGUGAGAGCAAUUAAGUGAAGAAGUUCACUCCUCUCAUCUUCUUCAUUCAGACUUGGCUCUUGCUUUCACUAAUCCAAUAUUAGUCCAAGUUUGUUUUGUUGAGUUGUUUUUACAGGAUCACUAUUCACCCCCUCUAGGUGCUCUCAAUUUGGUACUGUCGAAAACGGUCAUUCAUGGUCGUUUUUCGGCCAAAAAUAUUGGUCGUGUACUCAUGGACCUUUGGUGAGAGGCUCCUAUUACUUACCCCAUACAUAUUACCUUGCUAAAAUUUAGUUUCUUGUGUUUUUGGCAGAGCAUUUAUUCAUGUAAAAUCUAUAGGUGUUAGCAUUUAGUAUUGCCGAAAACAGACGUUCAAGCCUGUCAUGGGUGUAGUAAAUCCAAAGGACUCAUUAUUUAUGAGUAUAAGCUAGCUAGAAAAUUAUUGUCUUAGCUCGGUGGUGGCUCAAGAAUGUGUGAUACUCAAUAGAUCUAGACAUCAAAAAAACUUGAAUUCAGUAAACUAGCUAACAAAAAAAUGUGAAACAUGAAAACUGGCCUGAUAUCAUGGGAUGUCCAAAAUUUACACAAGAAAAUGGAUUUGUUGGGGACUUGUUCUCAAAUGCUAUGAGUUAAGAACAAGGCAACACAAAUGUUAAUGGUUAAAGGCGUUCGUCCUUCGAAGCAUUAUCUCCCUUAGGAUAUAAUGAUCUUCAGACGAAGUCUUGAAGGGUAUACCUUCGUCAUCCCAAUAUAUAAUAGAAAGCAGAAGUAUAAAUUACAUAUAAAGAAUAUGAAUAGGCAUCUCAAAUCAUUAGAUCAUUUAUAUAUUUAUUGAAUAACCAUGAAUGAACAUUAAUGAUAUUGAAUUACACUUGUACCUUUGGCUUGACGGAAGGCAAAAGUCUGAGAGUGACGUGCGAGCGGUUACAAGUCAGCGUGAACAGUACAGUGUUACUAUUCAUCUAUUUAUAGGCACAGGACGCAGCCUGUGUAAAAUUACAUCCAUGCCCUUGACAUUUAUUAUUGACUAAGGGCAAACUAUCGAGGACUAGACAACCUUUUCCUCUUUAGGUCGGUUUCAUUUUCCACCGCUAAGCCAAAGCUUCUCCAUCCGUAGCUUCGGAACUGGUUGGUCCUUCUCCCAGAUCGCGCCUUUCAUUCCACGCGCACCUUCAUCUCAAGGCCGAAGGUUCCUGUGAAAGUAUAUUAUACUUGGAAAACAUGUUAGUCGUGUUUCUGAGGACCUUCGGAAGAUGAAGGCCCCCAACAGGAUUUAAGAAACAACACAUGCUUGAGUGCCAAGUUUGCCAUGUUUGACAUGUCAGAACCAACAAAAAGUCGAGAAAUCAUAAUCCAAAAAGAGCAAAAGGAGUGGAACAAGAGUGAAGGUGAUUUGUUGUUUAUAGUUUACUUUAUUUUAUAAAAGAAUUUAAAAAGGGAGUUGGAAAAGAGUGAAUGAGGUUUAUUGUCUAUAGUUUUUAAGGGGCAUGGAGUGGGACAAGAGCGACAGUGAUUUGAUGUUUAUAGUUUUUAAAGAUGAUUUGAUGUUUAUAGUUUUUAUAAGGAAAUAAGUAGAGAACUGAUGAUGACUACAUGCUUUUGCUUUUUGUUUCUUUUCUUUUGAGAGGAGUGCAUGUCAUGCGUUUGUUUUGAACUUUUGCAUGAGAGGAAAAGAGCUAGGACCUACUUAUAGCAAUUGUGUACACGUGUUAGUCUUUGAACUAGCUGGCCAGGGUUUUUUCAAGGAACAAAAAUAGGACGGCCAGCGAUGUCUGUGGCGUGCCAUACGUUAAUGUCUAGCUUCCUUGCCUCCAUUGUCCAUAAAUACAUGAGCAUCUGCAACAUCGAUCUCCACACACACACAUCCAUCAAAGAAACAAGCGCACAAGAUCAAAUACCUCGCCGCCAACAAUGGCCUCCAGGUCCUCCAUCCUGCUCGCCAUGGUGAUGCUGGCUGCGCUAUUCGUCGUUGGUUUGUGCACCACCCCCCUCACCUUCCAGGUCGGCAAGGGAUCCAAGCCUGGCCACCUGAUCCUCACCCCCAAUGUUGCCACCAUAUCCGACGUGGAGAUCAAAGAGCACGGUGGCGAUGACUUCUCCUUUACGCUCAAGGAGGGCCCGACUGGCACCUGGACGCUCGACACCAAGGCCCCGCUCAAGUACCCCCUUUGCAUCCGCUUUGCUGUCAAGUCCGGCGGCUACCGCAUCGCCGACGACGUCAUCCCUGCCGAUUUCAAGGCCGACACCACCUAUAAGACCACACUCAGCAUCUAAUCAAUCUCUGGUGAUGAAUUAGAUUUCAAAAGAGCUCAUCUAGCGCACAUGUUAGCAAGACAAUAUUAUUUUUUCUAUGGUUAUUUUGUGGAACCAAACCACCCAAGAAAUAAGUGAUGCUAGAUGUACCUUCUGACCUUGUUGUAUUGGGUUGAUAUUAUUACAUAAACUAAAUACAUUAUUUAUUUAAGAUUUUAGGAGAAAUAUGUUGAUCUGGUCCACCUUCAUUAUCGAGAUGGUUGUAAAUUACAUUUUCCAAUUUUUCAUACUUAUGAAAUGCUUUGUGACACGACCACGCCAUUAAGCAACACGUUACAACCCCCAAGUCAUACUACAUCAACUCAAGUACAACCAACAUCAUCACCAAUCCAAGUCUUUGAUGGACCAAUUACACGUAGCCGAGCUAAGAAGCUACAACAAGAGGUGCACACGCUACUUUAUAAAUUUCAAUUAAACACUAAUGAGAACUUUAUGCUACCUAAGUCGUGUAUGUUGAUAUUACAUAGGUUCACCAAAGAGGAAGGACAAAACAUAUCAAGGGCGAAUCAGCAAGAAGAGCUAUGUUCGAGUCAGUCCAGCGCAACAGAACCGUCCAGAAGAAACAGUCAUAUCUUUUGAUUCCCAAAAGCUAUGAAGGCCCAUAAGUAUUUUUUGGAAAGCUCUUGAAGUCUAGUUUCCAAUGCUUCUAAGGCCGACUUAAUCAAAUCUACCAGAAAGGCAGCCGACCUACUUUAGUGCUGACUGGUCAGAAAGUCAACAGUCUGUUUGAUGACCAAGUUUUUGUAUUAAACUGCAUCAUCUACGAAGUUUCUUUAAGCAUGCUAUACAUGGUGAGAAAGCUUAUCAAGUCAACUUUCCAACACAUCCAGCCCCACCUCAUUUGUAGAUUCCUAGGAGAAGUUAUUAUCAAAAUACUAAAGGUUGUGCAGAAGUCAAACAGCCAUACGGAAAUCAGCUCUGCAGAACUCUCGAAGAGGCUCCUUCACAUUAGCACGUGAAAAUACUUUUGUUUCGUGUUUAUACCUCUCUAAGGCUGGUUGUUACUAGUAAAAAUACCCCCUAUGUCUAUGAUGUAAGGCAACUUUUGAUAAUCUAAAAACAGAACCCUUUUGUUCAGUUGUGUGCUAACAAAUAUUGAGAGUGAUCUCUACCCAUUUGCUCUUGUGAAUUCUUUCGCGGGAUUGCAGAAGCAGCAACUUUAUCUGCUCCCAAGUGUUGCUCCUACUCCCUUUGAGGUAUCCUCGAUUGAUUGUAGGCUGUGUUGGUUGGUUCUUUGAGAGUGUGGUUGGGCGAAUCCUCGAUUCAGGUUGCCGAUUAAAGACGGUGGUUGGCUUCGAGUUUUAUUUGUUAGGUUGCACUAGUUAUCGCUGCUUGCAGCAAGUUAUCUUGGCUUCUUGGAAGCUAGUUAUCUGAAGAUUGAUCCUACGUCGUGAAGAUCGGGCAUCGUGAUGCAUCAUUUGGUAUCAAAGCCUCAGUUGCCACGGUAGAAUUCUUUACCCCUAGCUACAUCUAUUUUGUGUUCGUCCUAUCCACCAAAAAGCCAUAAAAUAUUUUUGCCAUAGCCCUUUGUUUCAAUCUAUUGUUCCAGUGAGUUUUGUUAAGUUUUAGUCCUUAGAGUCUUUGUUUAGUUGCUGGUCACUCUAUCCUUUGUGUUCCCUUUGAGC
rnacentral:lncRNA from 1 species